CCCCCCACCCCGCAAACAAAGAUAUAUAGGAUUGGGAUGUACGCCAGUGUACUUUGGAUAUAUUGCAGGAUGGAUCCAUUUGUAAAUCCCAGAAUGAAUCCUUGUAGUACAGGGUUGUCAUCUUCUGAAGUAAAAGGUGAAGUUAAAGGGACCCCUGACUAUUAGGUCCAGUCAUGACUGACUCUGGGGUUGCGGCGCUCAUCUCACUUUUUUGGCCGAGGGAGCCAGCGUACAGCUUCCGGGUCAUGUGGCCAGCAUGACCAAGCUGCUUCUGGCGAACCAGAGCAGCUCACGGAAACGCCAUUUACCUUCCUGCCGGAGUGGUACCUAUUUAUCUACUUGCACUUUGACAUGCUUUCGAACGGCUAGGUUGGCAGGAGCAGGGACCGAGUAACGGGAGCUCACCCCGUCAUGGGGAUUCGAACUGCCGACCUUCUGAUCGGCAAGUCCUAGGCUCUGUGGUUUAACCCACAGCGCCACCCGUGUCCCUAUCUUCUGAAGUGGACCCAUGUAAUUCUGCCUUUCUCUGGAGUUUGCCACAUGUGCAGCAGCAGCCAGUAAUGCUUAGUUAUUCCCAUGUUACCUCCUAGUAUCGACACAUCAAACUGCUACUAAAGAGACAAGAGCUGUUUGUGUUCUGGUCAGUUGGCAAUCCCUCACCUCUCCCUGCUUUCCUAUUAAUAAUCCUAACUAAAAGGUUUGUGCAGUUGGAAUGAAAAAAAGAAGCACAGAUAUUGUUGUUGUUGUUUCCAGAAAAGCAACUAUUCUCUUAAUUUAGUAAUAUCAAAGGCGUCACACUGAGAAAAUUCACAAUCAUUCAUCUGGACUUCUAAAAUGGAAGGGCAAAAAGUUUUCAGGAGGGGUACCUGGGUUUUGGUUUUUUCCCCAAUUCUCAGGAGGACCCAAAUUUCUAGCCAACUCACUGAUUCUGUAUGCAGAUGAACUAUUUGGUAUGAAAACUGUUGGGUCCAGUUCCCUUUGCUUUAAAAAGUGACUAUUUAACCUGAACUAAUAAUGUUCUUAAGACUUGAAUAUUAAAACAACCGUGAACAUACACUUAAAAUGUGCUGCUUUUUAAAAUUUAUUUUUUACAAUUAAACUUCAAACAUAUCCAACAGUGAGCUUUAGACCACGGAUGGGAAAGCUGUGGUCUCUAUAUGUUAUUGAACUCCAACUCCCAUCAUCAUUGGCCAGACUGGAGUUGGAGUCCAACAACAUUUGAAGAGCUGCAGGUUCUCCAACCUUUCUUUAGACCACGUAGAGAACCAUGUCUGCCCCUACCAAUAUCUCUUUGCCCGUUACACUGAAACCUAAAACACCUUUCAUAAGGAUGUAUUCUAAUCAAUGUCCUUCAGCUUCCUGUGGUUGAAUGCCUGAGAUUUUUACAGUAUGGUUACUAGACCUACCUAUGACUCAGCUGUGUGACUCAUCAAGUUAGCACAUAUGUCUACUUCAAGGAAUUAUGGAUUGGCAUGUAUAUGACCACUGAUGACAAUAUGUUCCACUAAGUAACGUGUAUAUAUAUGAAUGCACUUAAUAAAAUGUAGGAUUGUCAGAACACUAGCAUAGCAUUUUCAUUUAGUGUUCUUCUUGGAUUCUUCAUGGCUGGAGCUCACUUACCAUUGUCACCGUGUGUGUCACAAAAGAUGCAGUUCUUUAAGCAUGCUUAGCUGGAAUUAAGUUGCAUGGGACUUCCAUCCGACAUCGUAAGACCUCUCUUGAGGCAUUAUAAAUACCUUACUGUGUCUGAAGCGUUCCUGAUCUCAGCUGCUGUCCACCUUCUCAGGCUUCAGAAGCUGAAAUUGAUCCCACAAAAUUAGGGCAGACCAUGCAUUGCAUGCUACCCCUGGAUCUGUUACAACAACAGUGUUGAGGAGAGCAAUUUCACUCCUAGCAAACAUGUCACAGCAGGCUUCCAAGGGGUCCAGCACUCCAUUCACCAGGGUAGAUGCUAAUAAGACUUGCACCAAUAGCUCUGCCAGGUGGCUAGUUGAGAAUGUUAGCGGAGGCAGCAAAACAUACUUUAUUUUCUGCCACCACUACCAAGCAAUAGGCAGGGUCAAUGUGCUCUAACUUAUCUUAUAGUGAGUUCUAUGCUGUUUGUGCUCCAGCCAUGAUCUGACCUGUUUGGUUGUCUGCAGCUCUCUGGAAUACCAAGGAGCCCUGCGGAUUCUGUAGUGCUGGUGAGGGCACUCAGGACUGAUCGUGUCAAAUACCUGUCACAUUUCACCAUUCCAUGGUGAAACGAAAGGCUUGACAAAAAAUCACCCGCUCUGUCAGCCAGAAAAUCCCCCAGGGACAGACCAUCUUAAGGGUGGAGACAAUGGAGUUAUCUCAAUUAUUCCGCCUCACGCCACAACUCAAAGCCAUCCCUCCUACAUUGAGACAAAGGGUGUGUCCUGCUCAGUGUGUUGUGAUGAUGACAAACUGAGACAACCCCAUAGUUGUCAUGGAGGCCAUGUCCUGAGCUGGCCCAUCUAAUGUAGCUUCGGUGCAAAUGUCACCCAGGACAACUGCCUUCAGAGUUCUUCAAAACCGUGCUCGAAACAUUCGCCAGUUCAGUCAGUCAGGAAGCCCACUGGGUAGCAGGCCAGUCUGUAUACCAUCAGCCUCCCUAGUUUGUCUCUUUGGCCCAACAUCAAAUGUAGGCCCUCAAAAUCCAUUCCAGGGUGAAGAAGACUUUUGAUGAGAUGAAAACUUUAUGGACCACAGCAAUUCCACCAAGUACCCAGAUAGCCAUAGCUGAGGCAGACCAUUUAUGUCCAACUAGGUCUAAUACAUGCCAAAUUGGAGCCAUUGUUUAUUGUCUAGUUGUGUAUGAAUGUGAUCUUAUGAACCCAUCUGGCAUUAAAUAACAGUACCACUAGGCUAGUGGGCUUGGUGACAUAACAAUCAGAAUCUUGAAGGACAGAUAGAUGGGCAAAGGAGGAGAUGGCCUGCAAGCAUCUAUAUUCUCCUUUUUGUAGAUGACUCAUCCUUAUUUUCCACUGCCUGUAAUCACUGCUAUAGAGGCACCGUACCCUGACAACUCUCCUUAGAAGUCAGGGUCCCAGAUCUGCUCUGCAUUCUGGAACUCCCUUGUUCAUUCCUCUGAUGUAGAUGAUCCAAUUAGCAUGGCCUGCAAGGAUUUCAGGAGAUGGGGGGGUUUCAAGUGUUUAAUAGUCUUCUCCCCUUGUUUCCUUCUCUCUUCCCAGUGCCGCUGCUAUUAGUUGCUGCCUUAAAGGAGUUCCUCCACUCGACAUAAACAAAACCCUGUUAAACCACAGGCACAGAGAGAAUCCAUUCUGAAAAUGCAUUUACUUUUCUUGAGAUUAAUCUCACUUCCAAAUAAAUGUAUGACAAUUUAUAUAUCCACUUAUAUACAUGCACAAGGUCAAAACAGAUGUGGCCAGAGGUAAAAGGCACCCCCAUUAUAAGAGUUCCACAUGCUAUAUAUACACACAAACAUUCAUUGUAGGAGAAGGCUUGUCCAUGUUUAGAAUUAGCAUAUCAGCAAACUGUGCUUUGGCCAGGUGAGCUCCUGACAUGCUAACUCUAUAAUCAAAUACAGCCGAAUGGAAUCUGUUCUGGAAGUCCAUUCAACUUCCAAAACAUCCGAAAACCAAGGCACAGCUUCCAACUGGCUGCAGGAAGCUCCUGCAGCCAAUCAGAAGUCGCAGAAGUCACACUGGACGUUCAGGUUCCAAAGAAUGUUCGCAAACCGGAACACUCCCGGGGUUGUGGCAUUCGGGAGCCAAAAUGUUUGACUCGCAAGGCGUUUGGGAUCCAAGGUACGACUGUAGAUUGAUUCAUGUGGUGGUAGUAAUAAUAAUAAUAAUAAUAAUAAUAAUGUAAUGGAAAGUAUGUGUAUCUCUUACACAAGCAAGUGCUUUACCUGUGACAACUAUUACAUGUUUUGGCUUAAAGUUUUACGCAGAAGGGCUUACAUUUGAGUUACGCAUAGGAUUAGACUGCAGAACAGUUUCUGUUUCCAGCUAACCUGGAUCGAGGCUGGUGUUAUGUAUCACUCUUGCUUGCUCCUUUCAUGCACACACAUCCACAGAAUGUUCAUAAUGUUUAAAAAAAUAAGAUGGAGAAGUACAGACUGCAGGGACAAAAUUACUUACAGACUGACAGUAGAUGGGUAGACUUUUGCUGUUGGCUCCCAUUCUGGUUAGUUAUGGUGAGAUCAUAUCCUGAACAUAUCUUGUCGUAUUCUAAAUACAUUUACUUAAAAGCUGGUCCCAACGAUUUCAAUAAAAUGUCCCCUACCAUGUAACAAGAAAGACAGAAAUGUUCUUCUUCUUUAGCCUGCUAUCAGUAAUCCAACAAUGCUAAGUGCUAAACGCUAUCAGUUAAUGGAUAGUACAGUAACCCGUGACCUGCAGAAUACAGCUUCCUCUGGAGGAUCUAGUGAAAGCUGCUCUUACUAUUAAUUGAAUUUUGUAACCCGAGCUGAAACAAGUUUCUCCAUCUCUGAGAAGUUCUGGAAUUAGAAAUAUCAAUUAUUCCAUUUACUUUCCCCCUUACAACCCCACCCCUCUGGCACAAGGGUAAUGACAAGCACAGCGGCGUUGGGCUAGCCAGAAAAGGAUAGGCUUGGCUCCAAAACCAUCACACUACAGAAUGUAAGACCAGGUUUUAUCCACCUUAUGGCUAAAAAUGAACAAAAGCAACUUGACGUGCAUGAAGUUGGCGCUUUGAGAAUCAAGUGGUACAAGGUUUGCUGCAGCCACAGAGAAGCUGCGGGCGACUAAGCAGCAGGUCCUACGGAACUCAGCGAGACUUCCUUCCCAGCGCAGAGCGCGCAGGAUCGCGCCACGGCGGAAAGGAUGGCGCCCGGGAGAAGGAGACAGCGGGGCCGUCGGGGCCGUCCAGGUGGCUGAGCCCCGGAGGCGGCCUUCCUCGCUUCCCUCCCUCCGGCUACUCCGCGCGCAUGCUAAUGGCCGCCCCGCCGCCCCGCGCAGCCCUGGCGGGGCACUCGGUGCCACUCAGGCCGGCAGGGGGGCGCUCGGCUCUCCGCGCCGCCGCUCGCCGGCCUCUCAAAGCGCCUUUCAGCCGCGCCGCGGGCUGCUCUCCGGAGGAGUCUGGAGCCACAUAAAGGCGCUUUAUGCAGGAGAAGAAGGAGCAGCAAGCGGCGGCAGCUUCAGCUGGGCCGCUUGAAUUCGGGAAGGCGCAACAGAGAGGCUCUUUAUGCGCCGGGCAGCAGCAGCACCUCGCUCGCUCGCACCUUGGCGAGGGGGAAGGGAGAGCCGGCUGGGAGCAGCGCCGGAGACCUGGCGCGCCCAAGCAACGCCUCCCUCCAGCAGGGUCCCUGGGUCGGGCUGCCCCACUUCAGACGGCUGGGACGGGAGAGGAGGCGUCGUCGUGCUGCUCGGGCCUUUCUCUCGCGAAACGAGCCCUCCUCACGUGUAAAAAAAAUCCAAUGUAUGAGCUGAUAAGCGGUGGCGCAAGCCGCCUGCCCCCAGUUAGAAGGGGCGUAGGUGAAGGCAGGCUGGGCCUUUGGGGGUCUUGGGCGGUGGAAAGGAAAGGAAAGCUGGCCAGUGAAGGGUGUCUUUGUCACCUUUCUAAAAAAAGAUGAAGGACCCCUGGAUGGUUAAGUCCAGUCAAAGACGACUAUGGUUGUGACGCUCAUCUUGCUUCACAGACAGCUUUCGGGGUCAUGUGGCCAGCAUGACUAAACCGCUUCUGGCACAACAGAACACCGUGAUGGAAACCAGAGCACACGGAAAUGCCGUUUACCUUCCUGCCGCAGUGGUACCUAUUUAUCUACAGUCAUACCUCAGGUUACGAACGCUGCAGGUUGUGCCUUUUCGGGUUGCAGACCAUGCCAAACCCGGAAGUACCAUAAUGGGUUACUUCCGCGUUUCGGUGCUCACACAUGCGCAGAAACACAAAAUGACAUCAUGCGCAUGCACAGAAGCGCCAAAUUGCAUCACGCGUGUAGUGCUUCAGGUUGCGAACGCUGCAGGCUGCGAACGUGCCUCCCGCACGGAUCACGUUCACAACCAGAGGCAUGACUGUACUUGCACUGGUGUGCUUUCGAACUGGCAGAAGCUGGGACAGAGCAAUGGGAGCUCACUCCGUUGUGGGGAUUCGAACCACCAACCUUCCGAUCAGUAAGCCCAAGAGGCUCAGUAGUUUAGACCACAGUGCCACCCGCUCCCCUUGUAACCUUUGUAAGCCUGUUCGGUUUGGCAGGUUGUCCUAGCUUACAGGGUGGUGCAACUUUCCACACCAAGUGGGCCGCUGUAGUACUUUAACACAGAACCUGUGGGUCACACACUGAAUUAAAUUGCCAUAUUACAGAUGUAUGUGCUUCCAUUAACAACCCAUGACACAGGUUUUUUUAAUAAAAAAUAAUAAUAUUGCCAGUGGCCACCAAAAAAAGGCCUCUCGCAGGUUGGACCACACUGCCCUAGAAUCUCAGGGUUAGUAAGCUGUCUCCACUAGGAGGAGAAGCAAGGUUUGCGAGGCAAUUCAUAAUGUGAAGAAUCUCAGCUGCCUUUUGAGGCAGGCCUAAUGAUAGGACUUAUUCUAGUAUGAGCCACCCAUUCAGCAACGACUCACUAAGAGUUAAACUAUGGAAUUAGUCCACCAAAUGACAUUAUGGUCUUCUCACUUGCUGGCACCUCAAAAACCAAAGUUUCAAAAUAACAACAGUUCAAACGCUGAGCAGCCUCCAGUCAUAAAGGGCAAACAGUCAACUGAUCAGAAAUCAAGUACGGUAGCCAAAUGAGUGAACGAGCCCUUCGUUAAUUUGUUGUUGUUGUUGUUGUUGUUUAAAUUGCCAUUGAACUUCGAAAAACGUAAGCUGAAAUUAGCAGCCCAAACCUAAUGAAAUUGAAGGGCCUGGCGCCUCUUCGAUUCAAGGGGAUUGGUAUUCCCACAUCAUGAAUACAUGUAGCUAGUGUUGACCCUGUUAUUUUCAAAAUAUUUCAUUCCUAAGGGUUUAUAACUGGGACGCAGAGAAAUACGUCAAGCAUCUUAGUCUCGACUCUGCAAACAGGAGAAUAAAAACAGGCAAAACGCCUGUGUGUUUUGGCACUACAGUGCAUUGUCAUAUUUUAAACCCGCCCCCCCCCCAACCAGAAAGAAAGAAAAGGCUUUGGCAGAUAUGAUAUAUGGGGGCAGAUGAGCUGGGCUGGUAUUCAAAAUAUUACCCAUUGUGUUGUUAAUCGCCCUUAACUCAGGCCCGCUUUAUGACUAUAAUAAAUCCUUUAAUAUUAAUAAACAAAGCCUCCAUUUUCUGCGCUGGUUGUGCAGGUGUCCUUCUAAGCAACCUGUUCACACUGAGAUCUCCUGAUGUUUCUUCUGCUCUUGGCUAACUAAGCAGGUGCUGUUUUUUUUUUUUUAAAAAACAAAACAAAAACGCGCACACAGCCAAAUAACAAAAGGCUUGUUUAAAUUUGGCUCUCUCUGAGCAAGAAGAAUUGGCUAAUUUCUGAAGUGGGGGGUGGGGGGUGGGAGGUUGGAAAUGGGGGAGGGAAGCGACCAAGCUCUGCUUGCCGGGAUAUGACAUUUCCUGUGGUGAAGCCUGCAUUGGCUGCUAAUAGAGAUCUAAUUGAUGGGUGAAGUCCCAUUUCCGCACUCUCUCCUUUAUUGCUCCAUCCAGUCUGUUGCAAAAUAUAAACCUUAAUCUGAUUGAGCAAUUCCUCCAGGAUUCAGUGCAAGCUCACAGCCCAGGAAAAAAAUCGUUAUUAAAAAAGUUAAAGCACCAGGCUCGAAUCCCAGAACCUUUGCAUGCUUCAAGGGAUGGGGGUAGGGGUGGGGGGGGGGAGGCCUUUUUGACAUUUUAACACUUUCUCUUUUUGCAGUCAUUUCCUCUUUAUGAUUAUUAAUAUUGCAAAUUCGGGUGGGGGUGCAGAUCAGUGACAAUAAUACCUGGCCCACCUCUUUCUUUUCAAAUAGGAUUGUCAAGUGUUGUUAGUGGUGGUUUUUUUUUACUGAAUUGCAUCACCUAAAGAUGCUUGCAAGCUGGAUUCUUUCCAUCACUCCUAAGACUGCCCCCCCCCAUCAGCGCAGAUGCUUCAUUCGGUAUGAUAAACCUCAUCACGCUAUUCCUUACCAUUUCUCCCGCUGAGGAACUCAUUCUGGCAGCUGUAGGUCAAGACAGCUCUUAGUCAAUUGCAUUCUAUUCUAUAGGACUGUACAUUAACAAUAAUAAUUCUGAAUGCAGGAUCAAAAAAAUACCCUUUAUUCUAAAUAUACCAUUUAGAUGUGAAUUCAGAUUUCAUUCAUAUAUGUUACCAUGUUUUCCACCUCCAUCCUAAAAGCAUUUACUUGGAAGUAAGUAACCUUGAUAGGAUUUACAUUGUACUGAGCACAGGAAUAUUUGAGUGAAAGCUUGUACUCUUCUAAAAAGACUGAAGGAAAGAGAGAUGCAGGGGCUUAAGUCGGUCCGGAAACCAUUAAUCGCAGAUCCUGUAUUUCUUAUUCCAAACGCGAGAUGCACUCUGCACGUGCUCAUGUAUCACUACUGUGCAGGUUUUGGUUCUGAGUUGUAGCAUGGGAACAGCUUCCAGGUUUGAAGCCCUGUCUUAAUAUGCCCUACUCCCACUGCAAAACACUUUAUGAUUUUAACAGAACAGUAUUUCACCCUCCCAUAAAAGGUAAAGGGUAAAGGGACCCCUGACCAUUAGGUCCAGUCAUGACCGACUCUGGGGUUGCGGCGCUCAUCUAGCUUUACUGACCGAUGGAGCCAGCGUACAGCUUCCGGGUCAUGUGGCCAGCAUGACUAAGCCACUUCUGGCAAACCAGAGCAGCGCAUGGAAACGCCAUUUACCUUCCCACUGGAGCGGUACCUAUUUAUCUACUUGCACUUUGACGUGCUUUUGAACUGCUAGGUUGGCAGGAGCAGGGGCCGAGCAACAGGAGCUCACCCCAUCUCAGGGAUUUGAACCGCUGACCUUCUGAUCGGCAAGCUCUAGGCUCUGUGGUUUAACCCACAGCACCACCCGCACCCUCCCUUGCUGACUGGUUUAUUUACAAGAAUGCCAUGUUCACACAUGAAUGUAAAUUGCAUGGCGAGGCCCCGAGCCCCACCCCAUUUGUUAGAUAAUGAAACACACGGACACCAAUAUUUUGGGUUAAUGGGGUAUAUAAGGCCACAACUUUAUUAUUGGUUACAGAUGUGAACAUUGGAACUGAACUGACUAUAUCUGACUCCUGCCCGUCAUGCAGGUAGUUUCAUAAGGGUCAACUACCAGUAGGGAGAGCCCUGUUGAUGUACACCAGGCAUGUCCAACAGGUAGCUCGUGAUCUACCAGUAGAUCACUGGAUGUCUGCGGUAGAUCACUGGUAGAUCAUUGGCUCCCCCCCAAAAAGCUGAACAACUGUGGCUCCCCUAAAAAAAGCUCAACAUUUUACCUCCUCCCUGAAAAAACUCAACAACUUUGACCCAAAUCCCCAAAAAGGGGGUAGAUCACUGCCAGUUUUUAACUCUGUGAGUAGAUCGCAGUCUCUUGGGAGUUGGCCACCACUGAUGUACUUCAACUGUGAGUUCCCCCAGGGUAACCGAUGGGGUCAUGGCACAGCCCUAGCCCAUACCCGGGCUUCUGAUAGGAUCCACACCCCCAGAUCCCUUUAAUGGAAUACCCUUAAAGAGGAGAGGCAGGUGAAGGCCCCAACCUCCCCUCCCAUCAACCAGGUUUACCAAUGCCUAACCACCUAACCUUACAAAGUUGUGACGAUUGUUACAAGGCAGGCGAAAACCACAUGGCUGGUGCCAAUUUGCCAGGUGGGGAAAUUCCUACCUGGUCCCCUCAACAGGCGACCAACCGUAAUUCAUAGCAAGGCCAAGAUGGCGAAUGCAUGAAAACAGGGCGGGAGGGCGGGAGGUCCGACGCAGAAGGAGAAAAGGAGACUGAACCCCCCGGGGAUGUUUAAAUCAGGUAAGCCAUGCCCCCUGGUCAACCAGAUUGGUCGGCCGUGGGGCGUGAUGCGGCCAGGACUCCCAAGGAUGUGGGUGUGGCUUACCUGAUUUUGUGACCAGCCUGCAACUCCGCCCCCCUGGGAAGGUGAGCAGUUUAACUUGAUUGCUCAAUGCUUGAUAACUAGAAUGUGUGACCUGCUUCCAUUGGCAAGCAUUGCCUGGGGGCAAGGUGAUGUUUUUUCUGCUGUUGUGUUUGACGAACAUGGGUGUAAACCCGAUUCUUUUCAUGUUCCUUUGGAACUGCACUAUAUUGUGUUUAGAAUCCAGAUCACAGUAUUUAAUCUGCUUUGAUUAAGGGGUGCCACACAGGGAUUUAUUGAUUAAUGAAGCUUCGCUAGAAGAAAUUCAGUCUAGUGUAUCAAGUGCAUAACAUUUUUCAUUUUUUAAAUCAGCCAGGUAAAUCCCCUGUCUAAUCCUUCAAAAGCUGCAUUGUUACAAGGCUUAUUGAAAUGAAAUAAGUGCAUGGGGCAGAGCAGUUUCAGAGCUACAUUUUUCUUGGUAUUUCUUGUAUGCUUGCCUGUGAGUAUACCUCCAAAAUGGUACACUCCCACUCUCCAUACAGCUUUGGGUCCUACCGGGAAUGUAAAGAACUAUAAAGCCAUUCUUGACACUAAUAUCCAAUAUAAUCUGACAUGCAUUUUAUUGAAAUCAGAUUUUCUAAAAUACCCAUGCCUGAAAAUGCUUGCUUGUGUACUGGUGCCUUUCCAUGAAAAAAUAUCCACUGAUAUGAACUGACCCAAAUGUUUGUCAAUUAACCAUUUGACUUUUAAUCAGUUUGCUAAUAUGUUUGAGGUAAAUGUUGAGGUGGCUACAGUGAUCUGCCUGAAUUACACACACACAGAGAGAUUGCCUGCAAGCCCUGCAGCAAUGAUCAGAUGUGAUUAAAAUCCAGUUUAAAACUCCCAAUCCAAAUUCACGAUUAAUGACACUCCUGGAAAGAUUAAUGUUUUCAGCCCCUAUUGAUGUUUCUUUGCAGUCGUUCAAGAAUAAGCAUUUAGUUCAGGACCCCCCCCCCCAAAAAAAUCUAUUAUUAGUGUGACGAGGUUUAAAAAGAUAAUAAACCAAGAAAAUGCCUACAGGAAAUGCUGUGAUUGUGUGUCAUGACUGGAGAGGUAACCUAGAAUCUUUGCAAUGUCACUGAACAUGUUGGGACCCAAAUCUCUGGAUCCCAGGGAGUCACAACCUAGCACCAGGCUUGUGGAGCAGGGCGGAUGUGAUUACUUCUCAGGCUGGUUAUCCGGAGUGACCUUUAUUGUUACAAACAAUUGAACUGCCCAAUCCGCAAUCGGCAAUACGUUUGAUUGCAUCGAACGGAGCAGUUUACUGCCAUGUGAAUGUGUUUAGGGUUUGUAUCCUGAAUGGGCCUAUCUAUGAUAGGGUACAAAGACUUUUUUAAAGGAGGGGGUGCAGAGUUUGUUUGGCAUCUUUGAUAACAUUAUGAGAUCACACAAAAAAGCCACAACUUAAAAGCCAUUGGAUGUUUUGAAUGGUUUUUUUGCAAUGUAAUCUACCACAGUUCUGAAGAACUCAAGUCAAAAUUUCUCAUUAUUUGGUGACAUUUGUUUGGCCAUUAAAAAAAAGUAUUGUGUGAUGGUGUUUCCCAAAUACAGUGGUACCUCGGGUUACAGACACUUCAGGUUACAGAUGCCUCAGGUUACAGACUCUGCUAACCCAGAAAUAGUACCUCGGGUUAAGAACUUUGCUUCAGGGUGAGAACAGAAAUCAUGCGGCAUUAGCUAAAGUGGUACCUCAGGUUAAGAACAGUUUCAGAUUAAGAACGGACCUCCAGAACGAAUUAAGUUCUUAACCUGAGGCACCACUGUAUAUCCUCAAAGCAGGCCUUUACAGUUUAAAUUGGAGAAUGCUCACCUCAAACCAGCACCCAAAAUUUCCUCCAUCCUCUCCAGCUUUGCAGCGUUCUCUGUGACUUUACAAGGGACAUCGCUGAUUUUCUGCCACGUCAAUGCCCUCCUUAAAAGUUCCACCAUUGGAUAAUUAAUUCUCUGUGUGCCCCUUCCUUCUCUUUUCACUCCUACAAGAGCUUUGUAGUCUUCUACACAUCCACAUUUGCACCCUGAAUCCUGCCCUUGCUGCUUGCCACCAUGAGCAAGUCUUUGUCAUGGCUUGAUUCCUUCAGAUCUUUAAAAGUCCGAUUAAAACUGAAGCUCACUGGAUGACCUUGGGACAGUCUUUGCCUCUCAGCCUAACCUACCUCCCAGGUAGGACAAUUGGAGGGAGAGAACCAUACAGGCCACCUUGAACUGAGAUAAAUACAUGAACCCCAUGUACAGAAGCUAGCCAGAAGGGUAGCUGAUUCUCCAGCUUUAACACGGUUUCCCACCAUAUCUGAGGAUGAGAGGUUAGUUUAGGGCACAAGGGCAAGGCUGUGCACGACACUCCAACACCAUGCGGCUGCCACUCGGCAUCUGCCGCCUGAGGCAGCUGCCUAAGGAUAGGGCCGGCCCCACCUGAAUGUUUGGGUCUAUAAUGGGCUGUGUGAAAAGUCUGCUCCUUCCUUUGUCAUGCCACACAGGAUGCUGUGGUAUUGGACAUUUUGGAUUCCACGUUGAGGUGUGUGUGUGUGUUUCUCAUUAGAAUCCUAGAGUUGGAAGGGACCACAAGGACCAAGGCAAGAAUAUUUCGAACCAGUGAGAUUAAGAGUCUCAUGCUCUACUGACUAUCACUGUAAUCUUGCAUUUGGAAUGACGCCUUCUUCCUUCAAAGGGACAGUUUGUUUAUUUAGGGUCUAGAUUAAAGGCGGAUCUACACGGAUCCUCCACUUUUAAAAAAUAACUCCAACAAAUCCAGUGUCAAAUCACAUCUGGAAGGCAUGCCUAGUGCAAAAAUCAUGAGGAUCCAUGUUUUUUUAACCAUGUUUUUGCGCCACGAAACAGUGAAUGCUUGAUUUUUUUGAUGCUGCCUACAGAGUAAGAUGGGACGCGGGUGGCGCUGUGGGUAAAACCUCAGUGCCUAGGACUUGCCAAUCGUCAGGUCGGCGGUUCGAAUCCCCGCGGCGGGGUGCGCUCCCGUUGCUUGGUCCCAGCACCUGCCAACCUAGCAGUUCGAAAGCACCCCCGGGUGCAAGUAGAUAAAUAGGGACCGCUUACUAGCGGGAAGGUAAACGGCGUUUCCAUGUGCUGCGCUGGCUCGCCAGAUGCAGCUUCGUCACGCUGGCCACAUGACCCGGAAGUGUCUUCGGACAGCGCUGGCUCCCGACCUCUUGAGCGAGAUGGGCGCGCAACCCCAGAGUCGGACACGACUGGCCCGUACGGGCAGGGGUACCUUUACCUUUACUACAGAGUAAGACAUGGUCUACAGUAUCAUGGUGGUUUUAUUUAAUUUGAAUGAAAAAAUCAUAUGAAUCCACGAGGAUCCGUUUAAAAUCAGCUGGAUCCGCCUUUUACCCUUUCCCGUUCAUUUACUCCAAGAUUAGCUCCAGCUCAUAAUCAGUAACGCCCGGUUUUCAAUGCUUCUCCGGGAUUAACUUUCUUCAACCCUUCACCCUUCGCUGGCUGAGGUGUAAAGCUGUUGGCCUGGGGGCUCUCUCCCUAAAUGUUUGGGGAGGGCCCUCUCCGCCCCUGCGAUGUCGACAGCGAAGCGUCCUUUCUUUCAUAAAGGCCCUUUUGCUUUUAUGCUUUUCUCUGGGGCCUUUUCUCCCUCUUUUAUUUUUCUCUCCCUCCCCCCGCCCUUUCCCCCCCGAAUCUCGGAAACACCAGCGAGCGAGGAAAAAAAUAAAUAAAAUAAAAGCGGUGUGUGCAGGCAUUUUUUCCCGGAGCUUUACAAACCUCUCUUCACUUUCGCCCCUCGAUAGGUUAAAUGAGGCGGAAGGCUAUGAAGGGGAUUUGAACCGGUCUAAAUGAUUGAUGAAGCCGGGGGCAAAGCGGAGCUUUUUCCGGAUAAAGCUCCAUACAUCCAGGCAUAAUGGCCGGGUAGUGGCAGGGCCGGGCCGCUUCAAAAGCCGUGGCCCAAGCGUAUUGAAGGAAAACAGGGAGGGAAGGUGCUCUGUUGUUACCUAAUCAGUUUAUGCGCUGAGCCACCAGCCGCCCGGAGGCGCGCGGCGCGGCAGAGGAAGUGGAGCGGGUGGAAAGGGGAGGCAGAUCAGGCCCAACACACACACAAACACAAACACAGGGCCCGUCGCCGCCGCCUGCCUCUCUCCCCCACCGUCCCCUGAGCUUCUCUCUCAGCUCCGCUCAAGGGCUGAGCUCGGCCCAUGCAGCUGCCUGCCUGAGAACCCAGCAUGGGGCGAGCGCCGUCGCUCCGGGGAGCCGAGCCAGACUGGCAGGGGAAGAGAAAGGAAAAGAAAGUGAAAGUGCCAAUGGAACGCUGGCGCUCGGCCGCAGCGCUGCGCCUCCCACGCGAGAGCGUUCCAGGACCAAUGGAACCCCUUCUCUUCCAGGCCAAGCCUCCUUCUGCGCCUUUGUCAUAGGUAAAGGGACCCCUGACCAUUAGGUCCAGUCGUGCCUAUUUCCAUGCCACCCCAAAUCUCUCUUUCCCUUCCAUCCAUUAUGGAGGAGAUCAGACCAGUCCAAGAAUAGUUUUUCAUCCCAGUCCUAUGCAAGCGCUGUCGUGCCCAUACCCUGCUUGACCUCUUAAGGGCAGUUAGGAUCCCGGCUGCAAAUUUGCAACCUGGCAGGUGAUAUAGAAGGUUACAGUAGCCUCAGAUGAAGACUAAUUGAAGUAAAUAGCUGGUGGCUUUCAGACAAUAUGCACUGAUAGCACACUGAGGCAGUAGAACAGGCUUCCUCAACCUCAACCCUCCAGAUGUUUUUGUUUCAGGGAUGAUGGGAAUUGUAGUCUCAAAACAUCUGGAGGGCCGAGGCUGAGGAAGCCUGCAGUAGAAGUAUGGACUAUGUCACUUUGCACUAUGGGGUGAAGUUGCUUCAGUUGCCUCGCUUCAAUCCAGCCCUGGAAGCUAGUUUCAUUUUGGUUGCAAUAAACCUGGACUUAAGGUGUACAACACUGUCAAUCAACAAGGAGUAUUUUAUACAUGUUAAUUCAGAAGUAAAUUUCACUGCAUUGGGGCUUACUCCCAGGUGCAGGUGCACAGGAAUGUAGUCUUAGAUAUCGAUUUGAUUCAAGGCAGAAUAUUUGUGGGUUUGCCACACCCCCCACCAUCUCAGAGUAUGACUUCAACAGUGUUGAAUCUUGACCCAUAUUGGUGAGUAGAGAAUUGAGUUGUACUGUAUUCAACUUAUUUGGAGAAGACUAAUUAAAAGCAAUGGACUUGGCUAACUUGGUUACAAUAGAUCUCUCCUGAUUACGAUUUUGUCACUUUGGGUUGCCCUGUGCAAGAUAAAGCGACUAACAAAUUUGAUAAGUAACACAACCCACCACUCCAGCAGUAUGACUUUUGAUUUGGUUGAACUUCCUUUGAGGUCAACCAUUUGAGUUGAGUAAACUGGCGGCUGCAUUUUCCUACGUGCGUUUUAGAACAUGUGUGCAGAAGUGUUCAGGAAAUGCUGGUGAUUAAACAUUUAAUUUAAAUUACGAUGACGCGGCUUACAAGCUUUAAUCGGUUUAGUAAGAAGAUGCGUGCUCAGAAAUUAGACUGUAAAAACAGCCUUGUUGGAUGAGAGCCAAGGCCCAUAUAGUCCAGCAGCAUCUCUUGUCUGGUCAAGUCCAGUCUCGUCUGGCGGAGGCAGCACCAUGGAGAGCUCCGAGUCAGCCACUUGCUCCAAAAAAGGAUGGAGGUAGACUGAAGCCUUUUGAGUUGCUCACUCAAGUCCACUUCUCCAGGGCUCAACUCCUAUUGUGAGAAUUGCUAUCCUUAAGGGGUUAGCCCCCUGGCCUUCAAAUGGGUGCUUCUUCUGGGCUCCCUAGCCUCCUGUCUUGGUACACUCCCUGCACCACUGGAUCACCAAGGAGCUGAGUUCCUCAGGUCCAGGGAAAGGUGUCUAUGAGGCUUCCGCUUCUGGCACCGAGAGCUCUGGUGCUGAGCGAUUUAGUCCAGGGGGUCCCUGCCAGCCUUGGAUUUAGUGGGUCAUCAGCAUCAGGCUCGGAAUCAGAUACCUAGUCUGACUCCUUACCUGGUGAAUCUACAACCUCUGCCUCUGUCUUGAUCACUGCUGGACCCUGGGAUUGUGGCACAUCCAGUUGUCAUAGCAGCCAACCAUAUGCCUAUGGGAAGCCUGCAAGCAAUCCCUGGGUGCAACAACAGUCUCUCCUCCCUUAUGGCUAGUAAACCGCAGAGCUAGGACUUGCCGAUCAGAAGGUCGGCGGUUCAAAUCCCCGCAACGGGGUGAGCUUCCGUUGCUCGGUCCCUGCUCCUGCCAACCUAGCAAUUCGAAAGCAUGUCAAAGUGCAAAUAGAUAAAUAGGUACCACUCCGGUGGGAAGGUAAACGGCAUUUCCGUGCGCUGCUCUGGCUCGCCAGAAGUGGCUUAGUCAUGCUGGCCACAUGACCCAGAAGCUGUAUGCCGGCUCCCUCGGCCAAUAAAGUGAGAUGAGCGCCGCAACCCCAGAGUCGGCCACGGCUGGACCUAAUGGUCAGGGGUCCCUUUACCUUUACCUUUAAAUUCAUUUAAACUUAACUGAUUUAAUUGAUGGAGCAGGAUUGGUGGACCCAGGAAACAGCACACCAUCUCCCCUUUGAAAACAGCUGCCAUACCAGGGUCACCAUUCCCUCCAAAGGAAGGGAAGGGAAGAGAAGAGGGGGUGGACUCCAGCACCCCUCCCUCAGCUCUCCCCAAACCACCAACAGGUAAUUUGCUAAGGGCAACAGGCCUCUCACAUUGCCCUGCAGUGAGGCUAGGACAUUCAAUUUCAAAAAUUCAGAUGUGAUGCUCUUGAAAUGAACCGAGACUCCUGUUCCGAACUGUUUGUAAUAGGUUUUGUUUUGUUUAAUAAGCUGAAGAUAGUAUGGCUAAUGGGCUCUGAUGAGAAAUUAGUGGGCUUCGUAAACUAAUAUGAAGUACAAUUUAAUAGCGUAGCUCAACAAACGUUGCACUUUAAAGACCACUGCCACAUAAUAGGAUAUGUGGAUUUAAUAAGAGGAACAAUUAAAUAAACGGUGCGAUUUAAAGGCCUGUGCAGCUUCGAGGGCUCUGCAAUUGGAUAACUGCUAAAUAUCAUUACAGUGGUACCUCGGGGUACAUACGCUUCAGGUUACAUACGCUUCAGGUUACAGACUCCGCUAACCCAGAAAUAGUACCUCGAGUUAAGAACUUUGCUUCAGGAUGAGAACAGAAAUCGUGCUCUGGCGGCGAGGUGACAGUGGGAGACCCCAUUAGCUAAAGUGGUGCUUCAGGUUAAGAACAGUUUCAGGUUAAGAAGGGACCUCCGGAACGAAUUAAGUACUUAAUCCAAGGUACCACUGUACAGCACUUUGCAAAGGAAAAAGGAAAAGUCCCUGCCCUCUAGGAGCAUACAGUAUAAAUUUCAUCACUGCUGGGAGGGAACAAAGGGGAAUGAAGGGAGAAGCGAUGGUAACAAAGUGAGGUCUUCCUCAAAGGGAGCUUUCAAUUUGAACCACCAGCUAUAGCAGCAGAGUGAAAAAGCUACAGGAAUAGUUGCUUGUUCAGACUGUGUACUUCAAGAAACCUGCUUGGUAGGAGAUAAGUAAAAUAGCAGUGAAAGGUUCUGCCCUCUUCAACAGCAUCCCAUUAUAAAGCAGUAGCAACAGAAGAUAGAUGCUGCAAUGGUUGUUCAGUUUAGCUUGACCCCCCGUCCCUUUGGAAUUGGGACAAUUACGCCAGUGUUCAGGAGCUCUUCCAUUAAUCAUUGUUUCAUUGCACACACACACACACAAGCCCAUAGGAAGUUUGCUAAUUUCGGACCACCAUACCAGAGUGCUUUCAUCAUUAGUCCAGAGUCAAUACCAGAUGCCUCCCCAUUUUUUAGCUGUCCAACAGUUUGCACAGCCUUCCAUGGUAAAUGGAUCACACAGCUUAAUGGGCAGAUCAGUCAAAGCUGGGAACAUCUUGCUUGCAAGGACUGAAUCAUCCCUGGCAUCAAGCACAUCCGGCUAGUUCCGGCUCUGUUCCUUCCUCUGGUGGUUACUCCCCAAGUUCCUGCUCUGUGACCUGAGAACAGGCCAGCCAGGAGCGAGGAAAGCAUCACCCACAAUCUGCUCCAGACUCUGAGUCUUAACCGACUCACAGGUUACGGUUUCAAAGACCUAUGCGAACUUCCACGUUCAUUUGGUCUUGGGCCUCUCAAAACCCUAUAGUGGAAGCUUGUUGUUGUUGGCAUCCAUCUGUCUCAAGAGACAAUGGAGUGCACCUCCAGGGGUGAAGCCAAACUGCUGCAUUAGCAGCAUCGAAGUGACCUGGGCAGUAUAUGGAGGUCCUGGGCUGCCCACACAUCAAGACUCCCCUCUCAGCCUCACUGAUGUGGCCAAAAGGAAAGCAGAGAAAUACCGUAUUUUUUGCUCUAUAAGACUCACUUUUUCCCUCCUAAAAAGUAAGGGGAAAUGUAUGUGGGUCUUAUAGAGCGAAUGCAGGCUGCGCAGCUAUCCCAGAAGCCAGAACAGCAAGAGGGAUUGCUGCUUUCACUCCGCAGUGAUCCCUCUUGCUGUUCUGGCUUCUGAGAUUCAGAAUAUAUUUUUUCUUGUUUUCCUCCUCCAAAAACUAGGUGCGUCUUGUGGUCUGGUGCGUCUUAUAGAGCGAAAAAUACGGGUACGUUUGACACCAGCUUGGCUGCAGGAGUUGCUGGAAGGAGGUGCACAAAACACCAGCAAACAGUCUUAGGGACUCCACUCUAGAUUUCUGUAGUCUUUACUCCGUGGCCUUUUCUUCUCCCAAAGAUAUCCUACAAGGCAGCGGAGGUUUAGGACCAGAGCUUUCCUUCUCCUAGAUGGGCUACCUUCCCAGGUUGACGAGCCCCAUCUGCCCCUCACUUCCCUAGGGUUGCCAUACAGUGGUACCUCGGGUUAAGUACUUAAUUUGUUCUGGAGGUCCCUUCAUAACCUGAAACUGUUCUUAACCUGAAGCACCACUUUAGCUAAUGGGGCCUCCUGCUGCCACUGCACCACUGGAGCACGAUUUCUGUUCUCAUCCUGAAGCAAAGUUCUUAACCUGAGGUACUAUUUCUGGGUUAGCGGAGUCUGUAACCUGAAGUGUAUGUAACCUGAAGCAUAUGUAACCCGAGGUACCCCUGUAUCUUGAAGAGCAAAAAAGAGGACAGCCCGAGCCACUGCCAGUCUUUCUUGAAGCCUUCUAGACCUGAGAACAACACUCUGCUGUUAUAAAAAGUACUGACAAUAAGAAGCAGAGGGUCGGUUAGUGUUUCUCCACUUCUGCUAUAUUUGAGAGCUAGUGGGGUGAGAGCAAGAAUGGGUUAGAGUCCUCCAGAUGUUGCUGGAUGCCAGCUUUUGUCAGCACGAGCCAGUAUGGCCAAUGGCCAGGGAUGAUGGGAGUUGUAGUCCAACAACGUGUGGAGGGCUAUAGCUUCUCCAUCUCUGGUUUAGAAUAUCGGACUAGGACUAGGACUGGGAAGACCUAGGUUCACAUCCUCUUCAGCUAUGAAGUAACCUUGGGUAACCCUCAGACUGAACUACCUCACAGGGUUGUUCUUGCAAGGAUAAAAAAAGGAAGAUAGCCAUGUACUGUAUGUUGCUGUUUUUAUUUAUUUGUUAUUCAUAUAUUCAAAGUUCUUAAAACGGCCCUUCGUCAAUUAGAUAUGGGGGUGUUGUACAAAAUAAGUCGUAAAAGGGUCAUAUAUAGCCAUGUUCAUGUAAACUUGAGCUCCUUGGAGAAUAUAUCUGAAAGAAACCAAAUUUUCCGUUAUGCUUGAUCACUAUCAAAAGCUCUAACUUUCUGAAGCUUUUGCUCCUCUUUUGCAUAUUUGCCAGAUACCAAUUUCUUGAUCACUCUGUUCCAAGAGGCGUUAAAGAUUCUCUGUGUCUUCUCUGUUCUUCCAUCUCUUGUCUUUUCUUUCUCUUUUAAGCUUUAUCUCUUUCAGUACGCUUUGUCUUCUGUCACACUGCCUGUCCAUGAAAAAGUGCUCUGUCCAGAACCUUGCGAGCUGUGUAAUCAAUUAGCUGGAAUCGCCAGAUCCUGCUCGCCUGAGCAGACAGAUAUUUUCUCUUUUAUAAAACUAUAGUCAUAGAAUCUUGAAAACCAUUGUGUUCAGCACACAGAUCAAACAGACGAAAAUUAGAACUAUUAUUCUGCAGUGCAAUACCAGAGUCUCAAAUUCAGCAGUCACAAUCCAGCAUAGAUUAAGCACACUAACAUCACAAUCCUACACAUAUUUACCGAGUUAUAAAGUCUAUUGUACUUAAUUCAUCUUUCUCCCAGGAAAACUUCCACAGGGUAGCAGCCUUAAAGUCAUUGAAAUCAGGGGGAAGUUGAGUGCUUAAUUCUGUCAUAUUGCAGCUAUUGGCUUGCAAAUAAGUCAUACUGAUUUCUAUUAAAAAAAACACAUCCACAUAGGUGUGCUUAGGAAUGUGGUAUAAAUGGCCCAAUAAUCUUAUUUAAAAUACUUUGGUGAUUAUAUGAAGCUUCUUAAAAUAUUGAUAAUAAAACUGCAAGUUAAACAGAUUUGAGUCUCAUUCAUUUUGGUAGGAGUUAUUAAGUACAAGUUUACCCCAUCCACUUAUAUCAAUGGGACUCUACGGCGCUCAACUUUGGACAGACUGACCCCUGUGAUUUGUAAGAAAACCAGCAUUGUGGUCAGUGGACAAGAUCUAAAAGAAAUAAUAAAAUUUUGCCAAGCUGGGAACUUGGAAUCUUUUCUGUAUAGUGACUUUUUAAUUCUAGUUUUCAUAACCUGAAAAUUGGACUAUUGCUUUUGCAUGAUGUACGGAGGUGUCUCAUGACCGAAGUUGCUUUGUUUUAUUGUUUCUGUACUCCUUGUAUUUUUCAAGAGCUAGUUUGUAAACAGAUGAUCUAUUUCUCCAUGGGGGGGGGGGGAAUUAAAAAACCAGCACAACCCACCCACCCCCAAAUGAAAUGAUUACAAAUCCCAUGGAUUGACACGUGAGCAUUAAUGCCUGUACCCAGUUCUGUCAUUGAUGAAGACAUUGGUGCAAUCUUAAGGAUGUUUACUCAGAAGUAAACUGAGUUCAAUGGGGCACACUAGCAAGCGUGUUUAAAACUGUGCACUUGAGUGCUUAAACUUUGGAUCAUCUCCAGCCAUGUCUCUGAACAUGAACUGCUCUUUAUCAACCGGCUAAAAACGUGCAGCAGUUUUUGACAUCCUCAUAACUGCUCGUACGGCUUUAAAGAAAGAAAACUGCAGCCAGGGGAAGAAAAAAAAGAGCAACAAAGAGUGGCUAGGAAGUGUGUGCUCAGCGCAGCUUGCUGCCUCCCUGCGCCCCCUCCACUCUCCUUGUCAAUGGUCAGUUCUAAUAAAAGAAGAACAAAGUUCCAAAGCAGCCUGUGGUUCCAUUCAAGCCCUCUGUUGCCAGAAAAGCCAGCAGGCCUGUAGCCAGAAGCCAGCAGGCAAAAAUUUAACAGCCACGCUUCCCAGCCCUAGUUAACGGCUAUCAAUGGAUCCAUAACUCUUCGCCCUCUAGAUAUGGGGGUCAGCUUUCAAUACUACCCCACUGUCGCAUACAACAUUUGUCUUGUCCCACAUUCAGCUAAUUGUGUCAGUCGGCGGGGCGAGGCUAUAAUACACAUCUACAAAAGCACAAUGCCAGCAAUAAUCUCCUGCCCCGUCGCUUUAUGUAUUUAAGUGCUAUUACAAAGUUUCCUGCAGGAAGAAGACCCGGGGAGGCACCAGCCCUUACGCAACCUCUCUGCUGCUAUCUGCAUGAGAGGAGCAACAGGACUGGCCCGGUUUUUAAAAUCGGGAUAACCCCAGCAAGCAUGCAGUGGUCACAUGCAACUUUGCAGAGUGUCAAGCAAACAUAAAAUGGAACUUCCUAAAGCAUUAAAAGUCAGGGUGUUUUUUCAGUGGCUCCUUUUGUUAUUCGUGGCCAAGAGAGAACAGAGGUCAUGUGACUAAGAACUUAACCAUUCGAAUAAUAAUAAUAGCAAUAAUUUUAUUAUUUGUACCCCGCCCAUCUGACUGCGUUGCCCCAGAAACUCUGGGCAGCUUCCAACAUCUAUAAAAACAUAAUAAAGCAUUGCAAAUUAAAAGGUUUCCCUAUGCAGGGCUGCCUUCAGAUGUCUUCCAAAGGUUAUAUAGUUACUCAUGAUUUUAUAUUUGGAGACUCAAUACGAAUCUUACACUUUUAAUAAUCAUCGUUGUUACAGCAGCAAUACGACGUUUCUUCUGGACACAAAAAUCCAAUGGUCUUAUAAUAAAGAGAAAGCUGUAGCUGUGGUUUUCGCCUUCAGUGUCAUUCUCUGCCCAAGUGUCCGGAAUCUAUUUCCUUCCAAGAUAUUAAGAUUUAUGUUGCAUAAGAAAGGACUGCACAAUUUGUGACCUGCCAAGCUGAAUGCAGCCAACCAGUCAUCCAUUGUCGUUGGCCGAGUGCUCUGUGCAACGCCUGUUUGCAGGCCCAGGUGGACAGCAAAAAGGACAUUUGUGACGGUUUGCCAUACAUGGCUCAGCAAGCUAUGUUUGACUUGGAGGGUCACAGCAUGCUUAAGACGGGCCAGAUUGCUGGGAGAUAGAAAGGUAGUAAUUGCAACUUUCUUUCAGAAAAGCUCUCGACUAUUUCACUUCUACACUUUCACCGUUGUCAUAAACGAUGGGUAAUAAAUGGGUAAUAAAUUUAACAACAACAACAGAGUUCAAUGAUCAUCAGAAUAAUUUCAUUGCAUACAAAGGGAAAAUUUGAAGUAUUUGCAUAUAGGCACUUGCUUAGAAACUUGGUCUCUCUUUCCUAGUUUUGUGACAACAGCAAAGAAAUCAUACUGUGCGCUUGAAAGAGUCAAAUUGACCUUUAUUGUGUACGCAUUUGAGUCUGAUACCUGAGGUACCACUUUAGCUAAUGGGGCUUCCCGCCACUGCUGCACGAUUUCUGUUCUCAUUCUGAAGCAAAGUUCUUAACCUGAAGCACUAUUUAUGGGUUAGCGGAGUCUAUAACCUGAAGCGUCUGUAACCUGAAGCAUCUGUAACCAGAGGUACCACUGUAUUUGGAAAACACCAUCACACAAUACUUUUUUUUAAUGGCCGAACGAAAUUUCACCAAAUAAUGAGAAAUUCUGAUUUCUCUUGAACUGCCUAUUUUGCAGUUUAAUGUCACUUUUUAAAAAAUGAACAAAGUUGGGCAGGAGAGAGAGGAAAACUGGUUGUGAUGUUAAGAGCCACAAAGUGUGCAGUUUGUAGAUUCUGGGAGAUCACAUGUUCAAACUGAGACAAAGCCAAAUCUGAAAGAGAGAGAAAAAAUUGGUGGAAUAUGUUGUCUACUGCCUUGGAGCUGUCCCUGGUCCUGUUUCUUUACAGCUACCUGCUCUCAGCUGUUUUCUGUUCUUUUGAUCUAUCCAAAUAAAUCUGCCCAGAAUCUCGUGCUCUGUGUUCCUCACCAUGACAGGAACACUUCUCCUCUCAUAGAUAUACAUUUCGCUAAUUUUACAAUCAUAUUGACAUUUCAAAACUUAACUUCCUUCCCCCUCUUUCUACAGUCCCUUAAGUUUAUUUUUAAUAUCUUCUGCAUAUCAUUAUUAUUCUUUAAAUAUAUACCCUUAUAAAACAGCAUGUUGUUACAAUAAUCCUGCUAAUGUUUGUAUCUGUUUAUAAUUUAUCUGUAAAUAUUCAAUAAACCAUUUCCAUUCUUUUACAAAAAAGUUUGUUAUCUUGAUUUCUUAUUCUUCCGGUAAGUUUCACCAUUUCUGCAUAUUCCAUAAGUUUUUGUAUCCAUUCUUCCUUUGCUGAGACUUCUGCUUCUUUCCAUUUUGGGGCAAGUAACAUUCUUGCUGCUGUAGUCGCAUACAUGAAUAAGUUUCUAUACAUUUUAGGUAGUUCUGCCCCUAUAAUGCCCCAAAGAAAAGCUCCUGUUUUUUUUUUUAACAAAGGUUAUUUUAUUAUAAUAAUAAUAAUAAUAAUAAUAAUAAUAAUAAUAAUAAUAAUAAAUUUUAUUUAUAUCCCGCCCUCCCCAGCCGAAGCCGGGCUCAGGGCGGCUAACAACAAUAAAACAGUACAAAACUACAGCAUAAACAACAGUCUAAAAUCAUUCGUUAUAAAAUUAAUUAAUUCAAGCCACUGGCAACCAUUGGGCCAGAGCUCCGCGAAGAUUGCCGAGGGAGGGAGUCACGCUGUGCCCUGGCCAAAGGCCUGGUGGAACAGCUCUGUCUUGCAGGCCCUGCGGAAAGAUGUCAAGUCCCGCAGGGCCCUGGUCUCUUGUGACAGAGUGUUCCACCAGAUCGGAGCCACAGCCGAAAAAGCCCUGGCUCUAGUUGAGGCCAGCCUAACUUCUCUGUGGCCUGGGACCUUCAAGAUGUUUUUAUUCGAAGACCGUAAGUUUCUCUGUGGGGCAUACCAGGAGAGGCGGUCCCGUAGGUACGAGGGUCCUAGGCCGUAUAGGGCUUUAAAGGUUAAAACCAGCACCUUAAACCUGAUCCUGCACUCCACCGGGAGCCAGUGCAGCUGGUGUAGCACCGGGUGAAUGUGAUCUCGCAGCGAAGACCUCGUAAGGAGUCUCACUGCAGCAUUCUGCACCCGCUGGAGUUUCUGGGUCAGUCUCAAGGGCAGCCCCACGUAGAGCGAGUUACAAUAAUCCAGUCUGGAGGUGACCGUCGCAUGGAUCACAGUGGCUAGGUCAGGGCGAGAGAGGUAAGGAGCCAACUGCUUAGCUUGGCGGAGAUGGAAAAAUGCCGCCUUUGUUAUAGCUAUAAUCUGCGCCUCCAUGGAAAAGGAUUUUAAACAUCCUUUUCAUUUCAUUAAGUAUCAUUUCCCAGUAAGCUCCUCUUCCAAGAUAUAUAAGCAAUGAGGCCACUCCCAGGUGACUUGUGGCUAGAAGACGUGACCUGCCUGCCAGGCUUAAGAGGAUGAUCACCCCUGUUUCAAAGCCAUGGUACAAUCCUAAACUUCAAGUGCUUAUUGUGCAUGUGGAGCAUGCCAUAAGUGCAGGCGGGGGUGUGUGUGCCCCAUUCUUUUAAAAUGGCAGGGAAUGCCCAGCAAAAAAUCAGGGAGGGCAAAGGCAUUUACAUGUUAAAGAGAACAGAGCCAGCAUGAUCUGGAACUUUCUGCAGAGCCACCAGAAUAACUGGAUCAGGUGUGCACCUUCUUCUCCUGCCAUGUCAGCCAAUUAAUAAAUCACUGAGGUCACAUAGUAGUGACCUCAUAGUCAAUCUCCCAUGGUAUGGUAGAGCACAUACGUCAUGUGCAGAAGGUCUUGAGUCUAAAACUUGGCAUCUCCAGGUGGGACUUCUCUGAAGCGACUUCUAAGUUCCUAUGUUUGGGGAAAUAAUACAUUGCAUGCAAUAUUUCUGUUACCUUCCCUGUGAUCUGCAGAGACCUCCAGUAUGGUGCUGUCGACAGAUUUCAGCUAAGAAGGCCCAGGUUAAAUCUCCAUAGCCACAAGCUUUGGUGGGGUGGCUUAGGCUAGUCUCUAACCCUCAACCUAAUGUACCUCAAAGGCUGUUAUGAGAUCAAAGGCGAGAACUAUCCUCGCCUGAGCAUGAAGAAUGGGCUCUUUUAUAUAUAUAUAAAUGCAACUAACUAACUAACUAAUUUGCAAGAUUUUUCUUUCUUGUUUGGUCCCAAUGAUUGCUACCAUUAAUUAGAUAUGUGUUCCAUUUCUGUUCUUAAUUAGAUUUGUUCCUAUUAAUUCAAUUCCUAUUUUAUCCCAGUGCUAUACUUCAGAAUUUAGUGGUGUUGUGGCCUUUGGAAAAAUAUUUUAUUUACAAAUUUUUUGGUAAUUGUCAUUUCCUUUGGCAUGAGAUUCCCCUGGGUAGAAUAAUUUUUUCAUAAUUUAGGCUCCACUAAUAUUUUUUGCUAGCAUUAGAUGGGGCUUUUAUAGACACUUCUCUGUAAGUAACACUGUGCUCUUAAUCUGUUUGCUGCUCACAUGUCCGCUCCUGCUAACCUUUGUGUGUAGACAAAAUGACUUUGGACAAGAAUUCCUCACAGACUUCAGUGAUAUUAUUCCCACAGGUAAAUCCAUUUCAUGCAUGUAUGCUUCAAUUCAAAAAGAAAAGACAACUGGGACAUAAUGAUUUGUCAUGUUCAAUGAAACUUUAAAUGUAUAUAAUUUGAAAUCCAGUUUUUAAAAGCUAUCAAAGAUUUCCAAGAAAAGUGUAAGAAAUGUCACAGAAGACCAUACUUAACCAGCUCACCAUGGGUAGAAUUUUCUCCUGUCUCCUGUAAUUGGCUUCAACAUUACCUAAUCCCUGCCCUGGGUGUUACUGGGCUACUCCAAAGCGCAUUGCCAUUUGUACUGACCUCAGUCAUUUCAAUCAAAUCAAUCAAUCAUUUUACUUGUAUGCCACCUUUCCAAAGUUAAAACCAUGCUCAAGGCAGCUUCCAACAUUAAAAAAAUACAUGACUACAAACAUAACAAAGGUAGUCAUAAGCAGUAAACAAAAUGACAAAAACUACACAAGUUGAACCAUUUCCACAUAAAUCAUAAUAAGAUCUAAAAAAUAUAUACAAAAUAAUAAUAUCAGUAACAGCAAUAGCUACCCCCCCCAGCCAACAAAACCCCCUACAAAAAUACUCCAGCCCAAAAGUCUGUUUAGCAGUCUCAGUUUUUGUAGCUGGAGUCAGUCAGGCCCUGCCCUCCCAGGUCAGGUGGGGAAAGGCCUGCAAGGCAAGGAGCAGGUCUUCCAGGACUCGCAGCCAAGAGGGUUUUUCUUACUAACAAAAAUGCUACGCUGCAACAAUGUAAGCUAUGCAGACCCUUGCCUUUUAGUAAACCAUUAUGCUAAGUAUUCUAGUCUAUCGUAUGUUGUUGUUUAGUCAUUUAGUUGUUUAGUCGUGUCCGACUCUUCGUGACCCCAUGGACCAGAGCACGCCAGGCACUCCUGUCUUCCACUGCCUCCCGCAGUUUGGUCAAACUCAUGCUGGUAGCUUCGAGAACACUAUCCAACCAUCUCGUCCUCUGUCGUCCCCUUCUCCUUGUGCCCUCCCUCUUUCCCAACAUCAGGGUCUUUUCCAGGGAGUAUUCUCUUCUCCUGAGGUAGCCAAAGUACUGGAGCCUCAGCUUCACGAUCUGUCCUUCCAGUGAGCACUCAGGGUUGAUUUCCUUAAGAAUGGAUAGGUUUGAUCUUCUUGCUGUCCAUGGGACUCUCAAGAGUCUCCUCCAGCACCAGAAUUCAAAAGCAUCCAUUCUUCGGCGAUCAGCCUUCUUUAUGGUCCAGCUCUCACUUCCAUACAUCACUACUGGGAAAACCAUAGUCUAUCGUAUAGUCCUAGCCAAACUGAAGGCAUCUUUAAAGAGCAAUAAAGCAAGAGCUUGCCUUUGUGCUAAACAUUUGCGUAGAGCAGUUGUGUCCUGGCUCCACCAUCUUGGGCUAUCUUCAUCGCAGUUCUAGGCUGGAUGAUCUGAACAGUCGUCUCACAUGGCUGUUCCAAGGAGCAUGCUAGGUCAUCAAGCUACUACACAAGGUUAGGAAUGACAUUAUUUACAACCAUUUCCUGCAUUAGCAAAGCCUAAUUCGUGUUACUAAGGAGGAACAAGAGGUGAAAACCCCCACCUUGGCCUCUUAUGGUCUGGAUCCAUGUUACCUUGGUAACAGAGAGAAUAAAUUGUUUCACACGAGCUCACUCUGAUCAUGUUACUUAUUACUGAAGUAUCUCUGAUUUAGAGUGGAUGACUCCAGUGUGGGAAUAAAUGAGGUGCUCAGAGUGACCUUGUAUUUUCUGGUUGGUCACUGUGAGAACAGUAAGCUGGUCUAGUUGGCUUCUGGCCUGAUCCAGCAGCAGUGUUUUGUGUUGUGUAGGCUCCUAUUUGUUAUGUGCAAAUAGCUUUAGAUACCUAUUAAGUCCAUAAAUUACCAUAUAGCAUAUAUUCAACACAAAAAAGCGACAAUUUGUUGUUGACAGCUGGACAUAUAAAGGGCCCCAUUACCUUCAGUAGCAUAAUAAUAAUAAUAAUAAUAAUAAUAAUAAUAAUAAUUUAUUUAUACUCCGCCCUCUCCAGCCAGAGCUGGGCUCAGGGAGGCCAACACCAAUAAAAUUACAAUAAAACAUAAUAGGGGGAAACAAACAAACAAACAAACCAGUUUAUUAAAAUACGGGUUAAAAUACAAUUUAAAAUGCAGCCUCAUUUUAAUAGUAGCCCAUAAAUCAAAACCAUAAGGGGAGGGAAACAUAAGGGUCAGCUGAGUCCAAACCAAAGACAAGGCAGAACAGCUCUGUCUUGCAGGCCUUGCGGAAAAAAGUCAAGUCCCGCAGGGCCCUAGGGCCUCAUCAGACCUAAAUCCAGCCCUGACAGCAUGACAUGACUGGCAGCCCACAACCAUUGGGAGUGUGGCCCAAAACGUUGCACACGGGUUCUGGGAUACACUGCGUCUCCACCCCCAUCAUUCAGCCCAGACACUGAGGUCCAGCACCAAGGGCCUUCUGGUGGUUCUCUUACUGCAAGAAGUGGAGUUACAGGGAACCAGGCAGAGGGCCUUCUUGGUAGUGGCACCCACCCUGUGGAAUCCCCUCCCACCAGAUGUCAAAGAGAAGAACAACUACCAGACUUUUAGAAGACCUCCAAAGGCAGCCCUGUUUAGGGAAGCUUUUAAUGUUUAACAGACCACUGUAUUUUAAUACUUUGUUGGAAGCCGCCCAGGGUGGCUGGGCAGAGCCAGCCAGAUGGGCGGGGUAUAAAUAAAUUAUCAUCAUUAUCAUCAUCAUCAUCAUCAUUAUUAUCAUCAAGUCCAACCCCCUGCAAUGCAGGAAUAUGCAGCUGUCCCAUGCGAGGAUCAAGCUUGCAACCUUGGCAUUAUCAGCACCACGUUCUAACCAACUGAGCUCUCCAGGCUGGCUUAUCACGAGAGCUAAAAGGAGCCUCCAUGUCCAGGGGCACUGCAUCUCUGAACACAAGUUGCUGGCAGACAGACAAGGCGGGAGAGAUGUUACUUUUUAGCUGCGCUGGUACAUUUCCCAUCUGGCUGCCCAUUGUUGGAGGCAGGAUGCUGAAUUGUCAGACGGAUGCAGCAGGGUUCGCCUUACGCUCUUAGGACUGGAGGAGGUGGAGGCAGCACAGCACAUAUGAUGGACACCAAACGUUCAUUGCAAAAUGUAAUUGAAAGGAAAGGCCGACCAGAGGGGGCUUGUAGAAAAACCAGACCAAGCCUGAACUCCAUCUUUGCAGGGAAAGAGACCUCCUAAUUGAGAUAAAUAUCAAGCUCCAAGGACCAGCCAAUUCUUUCCCAUAUAAGGCUCUUUUCAGAAAGUAAAUCUAUUUUGUAAAUGAAUAGCUACAGGAAACCAGCUUUCCACUGAUACCUUAAAGGCAGCUGCUUGAAGCAUGUAAAGAUCAUUGGCAAACCCCCCAUAUAUAUAUAGAUAUUUUUCCAGAGGACGCCGUGGCCGUCUCUUCCAUAUGUACACAAACAUCCGCCUUAACCCAGAGCAUAAUUGUGGAUAAUUCAAUGUUCAGAUUCGAUAAUGGAUGCUCAAAUAAAUAUGAGAAUUCCAAGCAAAUUUCUGCAAAUGAAAAAAGAUUUCCUCUGACAUAAUGGCCUGGUGCAAGGCUGUCUAUAAUGAGCCGUAAUUUGCCUGGAAGAGCAUUUUGAAAGGGGUUGAUCCGUGCGCUGGAAGAGCGGUGAACUGCUUCGAGACGAGAAGCAAUGAGCCAGCCUGCCUCGUCUCCAAGGAAAUUACGCCACGAGCCAGCCAAAUUUCUGACAACUUCCAUAAAUUAUUUCGGAUUUUCAUAUUUCAAAUUUCAUCUGCAUUCAUCAUGUGCGUUUGACUGGGGAAAAAACGUCUAGGCAGAGCCUUUGCUAGUAUUCAGUGCGGCAAUCCCAGGAGCCUGGCCUGGGACGAGAUAAUUGAAUUUAGUUUUGAUUAGAUUAUUCUUCCUGCAGUCUACUGCCAAUCUGAAGUAUUGUGCCUUCUCUUCUACUUAACCUUCCUGCCCUACGCCUGUUCCAGCUUGCAUGCAGCUCUCUGUAUUGUAGAAUAUAUUUGAACAAUCAAACUUAGGAGUUAUUAUUUUGCUUUCCAUUGUCCAUCCUUAUAAAGGCACACAUCUCUCACUGUGUUCCCUCUUCCCAGAAAUCAGAUUACUUCUUUCCCUCCUUUUCCUGGUCUUUUAUUUUUUUUAAAAAAAGUUUAUAAUAUUGUUUACCAUUUUCAGUGGAAAAUGCCCAGUAAUUUGGGAUAAGGGAGAGGGGGAUUUAAAAUAAUUGCUUGAAUCUCUCAGUGAUGCAAUAUGCCCUAAAUAAGAAUCAUCUUAUAAAUAUCUAUAAUAAUCACUGAGCAAUACACAGGGAGUCAAGAGCAGAUAAAGAACGAAGAAAUCCGUCUGUUAUAAGCAAAUAAUUAUUGAUAGCCAAAGGGAUUAAUCAACAACCCCUUUACCAAAUGAUCAGUGCUACUGCUAAUAAAAACAUUGGGAAUGGCCUAUCAAAAAUAAGGCAUUAGAAAUCCAUAUUCUGGAUUUCUCAGCAGAAAUCAUCACCAAGAUUAGCCUUACUCAAAAGCUGUCACAGUAGCAAAAUAUUAUUGAUAACUAUUUUAUCCUGAAUUUUAUUUAAAUCACAUUUAAAUAUAUGUCAAGGCAAUUAAUAGUAUUGAGAAAUAAAAAUCACAUCCACACAUCUUUAGGAUUCUGAUUGUUCUUUGAUUCCUUCAAAGAAUUCAAUUGUAUUUCUACAUGUUUAUGAAGCAGAAUGUCCACAGCUCAUGUUAUAGUCUAGAUUCUUAGAAACCCAUAUAAAUUAAACAAAACUAAUGUUUUAUUUUAAGUAACAUCUAUCACUUCCCUGUUAUUGGUUUAUUUCUUUUAAAAAAUAUAGGACUAUUUGAUGCUGUUGUGUCUGAGCUGAGGAGUUUAGGUUCUUUAUUGUUCUCCAUUUUGAUGAAAAACAAUUGAAUUGGGGGCUCUUAUAUUGAGUUUUGUUCAGUAAAUAUCCUGAAAUCAUAUUUUUGUUAGAAACUAUCAAUAAAUCUAGUCUAAGAAAAGUAAUAAGAUACAAAUAUGAGCAGGACCUUUGCAAAGGAAAUAUCAGAAAGAGAGCAAACCCAUAAAAUAUAUUAGGGAAUGGGAUUUCUCCCUUGUGAAGGAAGGAAGGAAGGAAAAGGGGGGGAAAUAUCUGAAUUAUGUGGCAUUUUUAACACUGUGCUUGAAAGGAGAGGAGAGUUCAAAGCAGUAAUUAUACAGAAUGUGCCUAUUUGCUAUGUCAGUAGGAAUGUGUUGCUUUUUCAAAGGGUCGUUACUGACGAGUUUCUUUCAUUAACAGAAUUUACAGAAACAAAGCAUUUCAGUGCACAAUGUCUUUUGAUGAGAUCACCACCAGUUCAAAUAUAACAUACAAAUGUAACUGUGGACCCUUAACACAUUUAUAUUUCAAGUGUAUAGGCUAAUGUGAAGCUUAAAAUUUCAUGGUGAGUUGUUUACUGGACCCAAUCCUGACAGCCUGUCUCAGCUUGUGGUUACUUUUGCCUGUUGAAUUCUCUGGGCAAUUAAGCAAAGCUAAAUCGAGCAAGCUUUGCAAGAUGAGGUUUCAAGUGACAGCUCUGUUAGAUAAUGAGAAAUACAGCAUUUCGACAACAUCUUCUUGCGUAUUUCAAUCGUGAGUUUCUAACACAAAAAUACCAUAUUUUUUGCCUUAUUGUUGUGCUGCAUAUUCACAACGCGCCCCUUAUAAUCUAAGCUAUCCCGUUUUUGCCCUAUGAAGAACUGCUUCUCUCAAAGAGUGAUCAUAAAAAGUGUUUGUUUUUCCAUGUAGAUGGUCAAUGUGAGGUGUGUGUGUGAGGGGCUAACUUUUAAGAAAGCUGAGACUGAUUCAAAACCAUCUGGGACCAAUGGAAAGUAAUAGGCUGGUUUAGGUGCUUACUGGCAUAUCUUAAGACCAUAAUUUUGCCAGUGGUUUCUUUCCCCCACUUUCACGUAAGCUAAAAAGAUACUAUUUCAUUGCGACAGAUGCAAAUCAUUUACUGGACACACUUGUGGCCCACUGAAAGAUUCCAGGUAAUUUUGGAACCCUGCAUACACUUAAUUAGAACGAAAUUAACUGCAGAGACCUAAACGGCGACAAAUAAUGUAUUUGCAGGCUAAUACACGCUUAAUUCAAGCACAACACAGGCUUAAUUCCAAUUAUUAGUGGGGGAGCCUGGAGUACAUUAUUAUUUAAAGGCACACCAUGCUAAACAGUAUAUACAACAUGAAAGCAUAAUGUGGUUAAGUGUAGUUAAUUAAAAUGAGUAUUCAUAAUCAUGUUCCAUGAAAUGCAGUAGGAAACUGUAAAACAGACUUCGGUAUGUGUGUGUGUGUGUGUUUUCUCAUUGUCACCAAGAGACAUGAAAUCCUGGCUCGAACCCUUACUAGCUCUAGAGGGCAAAUCAUAAGUAGCAAGUGCUGAGCACCCUUCAAUUUUCUCACCCUUGAAAUCGAUGGCACAGUGUGAGCCUGCGAGGCCACAAUCUGAGACCUGGUUGAAACAUGAAUCUGGGUGUAUAAAACGGACACACACACACACACUUAGGCAGGGUUCCACAAAGAUGGCAACUGACUUGGGUGAGUUUGCAUGUAGUGCAGACACAUUGCCUCAGGAUUUUGCACGUGUCAAGUAGAACUAUGCAUAGCUAAGGAUUUAUUUAUAUUUUUGCACACCCGGGAUUCCAUUUAAAUUGGACCUUGAAUUUUCAGCACCAAAAGUGCAGGGGAUUUUCAUCAUGAUUAUACAUGUUGGGGAGGAGAAGGCCAUCUGGAUUUCCUGCCUCGGGCAACAUGAUGCGCAGGGACACCCUGCAACAGGGCUCACGCCCAAUAUGUUUUCAAGACUGAAAUUUAAAUAACAUUGCAAGUUUCAAAAACCAAGCUUUUGAAUUUUCUCUUAUACCACUUCGACAAUUGUGACUCCCCUCCCACAAUAUCAAGAGCUGUAAUUUUCUGUAAAUUGUUAUGACACCUCUCACAAAACCACAUUUCCCAACAUCCUUGACAAACCACAGUUACUGGGAUUUUUUAUUUAUUUAUUGGAGGGGGGAAGCCAUGAAUAUACAGUGGUACCUCAGGUUACAGAUGCUUCAGGUUACAGACGCUUCAGGUUACAGACUCCGCUAACUCAGAAAUAGUACCUCGGGUUAAGAACUUUGCUUCAGGAUGAGAACAGAAAUUGUGUGGUGGCGCAGCGGCAGCAGGAGGCCCCAUUAGCUAAAGUGGUGCUUCAGGUUAAGAACAGUUUCAGGUUAAGAACAGACCUCCGGAACGAAUUAAGUUCUUAACCCGAGGUACCACUGUAAUGUGGCAUAAUCCCCCCCCCCAAAAAAUAUGUUUAGGGGUUCUCUCAUUUUGACUCAAGAAAACCAUCAUUUUAUAGUUCAAAUCGGGAAAAAUAAAUACAGUAAAUGGACAGAAGUAAAAAGAUUCACAAAAUGGUCAGGGGUAUGCGUACCCCUGCAUCCCCCCAGAAAAAAAGCACUGGGUAUAAUAUUUAAAUGUAUGGUGUGGUUGAAAUCUUUACUAGGUCAAUCUCUGCUAUGCUGCAGUGCCACCCAUAUGGCGGCCAAAGCUGGAACUGCAGCCCACCGGGACCACACAACUUUGCUCUGUAUAACCCCUGCUUCAAAAUGUGACCCUUAGUCUGCAGACCCUCCAAGUGCCCCAAUUUUCCAGGGAUGUCCCUCAUUUGGAGAAGCUGUCCUGCUUUCUAAUUUGAUCCUGGAAUGUCCCACUUACCUUUAAAAGGACCUUACCGUUAGGUCCAGUCGAGGAUGACUCAUCUCGCUUUACUGGCCAAGGGAGCCGGCGUACCACUUCUGGGUCAUGUGGCGAACCAGAGCAGCACACGGAAACGCCAUUUACCUUCCCGUCAGAGUGGUACCUAUUUAUCUACUUGCACUUUGACGGGCUUUCGAACUGCUAGGUUGGUAGGAGCAGGGACCGAGCAAUGGGAGCUCACCCCGUCGCAGGGAUUCGAACCACCAACCUUCUGAUCAGCAAGCCCUAGGCUUUGUGGUUUAGACCACAGCGCCACCCGCAUCCCUUCCCCUUUUCCUUAGGAUGUCCCAUUUUCAUUGGAGAAAUGUUGGAGGGUAUGGAGUUAUCUAACCCCCGAGCCAUCUGAAGGCAAUCCUGUAUAGGGAAGUUUUUUUUAAAAAUAAUGAUAAUGUUUUAUUAUGUUUUUAUAUGUGUUGGAAGCUGCCCAGAGUGGCAGCUUGAAAAUAGGGACGUCCUAAGGAAAAGUGGGAUCAAAUCAGAAACCUGGGGCUGUCCCUGGAAAACAGGGACUCUUGGAGGGUGUGUUGUUGUGCAAGAGAAUGCAUAAGCAGGUUGCUGGUAGCUUUGCUGCACAAUAGGUUGUGAAAUCUGCUUCACGACGCAUUUUUUUCAUGUGCAACAGUUGCAUGGGGACCCUCUGUUUCGCAACAUUAAAAUUAGUCCACCUGUGAGCACAAGAGGCCUUGUUCUGGCAGACAGGGAACAACCCGUUAAGCUAUCAAAAUCUUCUUCACUCAAAGAACUCUGGGGAUUUUAAGUCCUUGAAGCGGGCUAACAAAGCUCACCCUUCCUUCGUAUUAUUACAAAAUUGCCACAAUCUGUUUGGGGCAACAAUGCCAAUGAAAUUAGUUUUUAAAAAUGGGUCUCCGUUGCAUGUAUGUCUGUGUGUGUAUGUAUGUAUGUAAAUAAAGAGGAGGGGGGGGAAAUGGCUGAUAGGUACAAAUAUUCUGAAGGGAAAGUAACUCCAAGCUCUCUAUAAAUUGAAUAUUUUAAUACAAGGAUAGCAAUGCAAAUAUUACACGUAAACACAAAAGUGUCCUGAUUCAACGCAUUGGACAUUUUGUUCCGGGUUCCAACAUAUCCCCCAGGGACCUGAUUCCAACUAGCUAUAGAAUCCAAGAAUCAAUGUGUUUAUUCCUUCAACAGCGUGCCCCAGGUCACAUGCAAAUAAUUAUUGCUGUUGGUCAAAAUCAUGUGAGUAUCGGAAGCAAUGACUUACCCAGACUAUAGGUGUGCAGUACAAUAAGCUUGCAAGCAUUACGCUGACUAUGCCAGAUAAUCAAAGCAAGCCUAACGGUGUCCUUUUAUAUGUCUAAAGAAGUGUCAAUAAGUUUGACACCCGGUAUGUCAGUUUAAGGGCUGCAAUAACGGAAAAAUAAGAUCAACUCUGCAUUAAGUCAAAAUCCAAGUACGAAUCCGGUUAACCUAUUAUUCCUUAUCAACCUCCCCCCACAGCAAAUACUAUAUAGAGAUGAUCGCAAGAUGCCGGGGCGACCAGACUGAUCCACUUCCUGAUGAAGGUUAUUGUGUUCUCAUUAUGCAGCAGCACAUCUGGCCUAGCCAACUGGGACCCUAAGAAUCCCUAAUAUAUUAAUAAGACUUACACCUCCACAAAUUGCAUUUCGUUUGAUUAACUCUCACACAGCUGGUCUGAGACGCAUUUUUUUUAAAGCCAAUUUUAUAAGCUGAUGACACACCAAGUUAAUCCCCAUCAUCUUGGGAAGUGGAUGGGCUGACACUGAUCGCAACCCCGCAGCGCCAUUUCUGGAGCACUUAAGCCAAUGGCCUUUCUCCAGAGUAAAUGGUCCCAGGUUCUGAAUCUCAGCCUUGACUGGAGCGCGUCUCAAAUAUCGAUCUUUUGGGCCGGUGGCUAAUUGAUAAGAUGAGAGGUGGCACUAGGGUUCAGGUCGGCCGAAGUGGAAGCCCUGUUUCACAAUCUCUCGUGGUUAUUCCGUGGUGAAAGGCACUCUGCACAUGUUCAGGGGCAGUCCUUUCCUUAUUAUCAUCUCAUAUGUCUCUGGCAUGGAAUGCAGUCUGAGAUCAGAACCCUGAUUAGUCCUGACACGAAUUUAAGUCCUGUUUCUGACACACUUUGAGAACAGAAUGCAACCGAAAUAUCUACCAUGAGUGCCACUUUUUCUUUUAAAAUUUGUAUAAUGCAACCAUUUACCGAGCACGCACACUGCAUUGCAUUGCACAAUCAGGGCAAAAGCCAGCCAAAGUAAAGCACUUUUAAUUCACAUGCUGAGAUCCUCCACUGAAAUAAAUGAGACUUAAGAUUGUUUAACCUCCCCAGAGCAUUGGGAAGUUCUGGGCUAUCUUCACAGAGUCAAUUUCCUUUGGAGCCAUAAGAGCACCAGAGACUUAUGAUGUCUGAACUAAUCAGUUUAUUUGCAAGUUGAAUGCUGCGGGGAGCAGAUGGAAGUGCCCAGGCAAUGCAAAAUUCGCAACAGCAACAGCAGCUUGGAAACAAAUUUCCCCCCAUAAAGUCUCUUAGCAACUUUGGGAGCAAAAAAACUAAUUUUCAAUUGCUGCUGCUGCUCAUCAUCCUUCAUUUUUAUUUCAUUCAAUGCUAUUUUGCAUCCAGACUUUGUCAAAGAAACGCAGACCACAACCCAGCGGGUGGGUAUGGCUUGACCCAUAUUAAAGAUACCUGAAAUAGUCCAUUUUUUCUUUAUACCAAUCUGCUCACCUCUGGAAUGAUCUCCCUCCGAUCUGUAGCUUAUCAAGCAAUUUCAUCAGUCAGUGAAAUUGCAACUCUUUGUCCAGACUUUUGGACAAUGCGAAGUGUAUUGGGCGCUUGAAUUUCUGUUGCUUGCUGGUGGUUUCAUUUGCAAUUGAAUGCUGUGUUUUGUUUAAUUUUGGAUUUGGAUUGCGUAUAUUUCCACCUCUGGCACUGUUGGGUGAAGGGUGGAUUAGAAAUAAUAAUAAUAAUAAUAAUAAUAAUAAUAAUAAUAAUAAUAAUACAAGCAAAUAAAUAAUGCCCAGCUUUAUGCAGAGGCCCAAAGUGGCUUACAAAAAAUGAAGCAUAUGAGAUCAGAACCUCCCAAAACCACUUUCAAAUGCAGAAUAAUCCAAGUUCCUACACUAAGACUUCGCUCUGCCAUAACCCAGUACUGUUGUUGGUACUACUUACAUCAUUAGCUGUGCUCAUGUAAGCUCAUGGUUCUUGAGAGAGCCACUGGUGUAUGGUACUGCACCAGUUCUAUAACACACAAACCAGCUCUCCCAGAACUGGACAGAGCUAGGUCUGUUUAGCUAGCAUGUUGAUUCACAAUGGCAGGCCCACAACUGUCUAUUAACUGAUCAGCAGACCACGGACCCUCCAAGUGUCCCCAUUUUUGAGUGACAGUCCCGGAUUUACAGAAACCGUCCCGGUUUUUAAUUUGAUCCCGGAAUGUCCCGCUGUCCCUUAGGUCUUAGGACAUCUCUAUUUUCAUCAGAGAAAUGUUGGAGGGUAUGGAGUUAUGCAACCCUUGAGCCAAGGAGAUAAGUAACUAUACAACCUUUAGAAGACAUCUGAAGGCAGACCUGUAUAGGGAAGUUUUUUCAAUGAUUAAUGUUUUAUUAUGUUUUUAUCUCUGUUGGAAGCGGCCCAGAGUGGCUGGCCCAGCCCAGUCUGAUGGGCGUGGUGUAAAUAAUAAAAUGAUGAUGGAAUAGGACAUCCCUAUUUUCAUUGGAGAAAUGUUGGAGAGUAUAAGACCAUUCUAUGAUGAUCUUAGUUAUCAUCAUCACCAUACUAAUUAACUUAGGCUGCAAUCCUGUACUCAUCUGAGAGUAAGUCUCACUGAAUUCAGUGGCACUUGCUGCUGAGUAGACAUGUAUAGGAUUGUGCUGGUAAACAUUUUAAUAAUCUCUAGAGAAUUACUUUAGCCACAAUUGAUUUCAGAACAGUCCUACCCAGAACUUCUGGCUUUGACAUAAUGCAUCCGCUGACACUGAUCACCUUGGUCGAUACUGCCUCUGUACCUCUAGUGGACUUUUGGAAUAACUCAGCUUUAAAAAAGGAACAAAACAACACAGCCUCAGAUGCUUUGUUCCUGCAGCUGAAUGGUGGUAUCCAAAUAACAUUGUUUGCUCGAGAAGAAACACAAUCUAUACAUCCCCUGCUAGUGAAAAAUGCAGAAGCCUCUUUGUCCAGCAACAAACAAGACCCGUGGAGAUCAAUUCUUCCUUGCCAGCCAUUAGGUGUCAGUGCAGUAAAUGGGAAUUAUAGACAAAUGGUUUUAAAAAGAGAAACCAUUACUAAAGAAAAGGAGGGGGGAAGCAUCUCUCUCUAUAUAAAGAGAGUGAUGGUUGUUGUAGAGCCUUCUAAUGGGGCCUGGCCCACAAUGCAUUGCCAAAUGUUUGGCUCUACAAACACAACGGUAUUUGCUUUGCCUCAACAAAGCCCAAACCCUCUGGAGUGGUUUGAGGAAACCCAAAGGUUUCCAGAUCCUCCCAGAAAUUCUUUCUACAUUUUUAGGAAGGAUACAAAAAACUUAGGGACAAAAGGCACAAGAUGACUCCUCUAAACAAAACAACUUCCUCUUUCCUUUGCCAAAAGCAAAGUAGCAUCAGCAGUGAACAGGAAUGCAUACAUAAUGUUCACGAUUAAAGGUGAGGUUUCAUUUUACGCCCAUGACAAAAGUUCUGAAUAUAUCUUGGUGUUCAGGAGGUUUUGUAUCGAAUCUGCGCAUUUGUAGAACCUAAAAGGAAAUGUCAUCGACUGAAGGAUGUCUUCGAUUCUAAGGGACUUUCCAGAACAUCAUUUUUUGAAAAUGGAAAAAACAAAAACCAUCACCACCCAGUCUUCUCUCAACUAGGGAUUUCAAUGAAAGUUGCUCCCACAUAAGUGUGUGUAAUUGUACCUAUGCACACUUGUCACUGCUGUGGAAACCUGGCCUGUACUGUGCUUUUUAGCCAACUGCGCUUCGCAAGAACACGUAUCUCACACCACAAGUGUGGCAACAAUGGAUGGGCUAGGCAGGAGAUGAUAUUUUCCUAGCACAGAUCCUGCCUGUGAAAUUUUGACACCGAGGCAAACCACAAAAUGGCACCUGCCUCCCUGCUAGGGAAGAAGGGGUUAGUGAAGAUAACGGAGAAGCCGGGAAGAAAGAGCUACAACAGGAUCUGCUGCCCCUGUUGAUCCUGAGGUGAUCACCUCACCUUUCCUCAUGGGUGGGCCGGCCCUGUUCUAGCAAGGCAACUUUACCCUUUGAGCACUGAAACAGUGCAAUAGUUCUGCAACACAAAAGCACUAUACAGUAUUUGACAAAAGGGUUUAUUCAUUUAGAGUACUUCCAGAAUAUGGGACCUUCACAAACCAUAGUGCCACACACAAAGGACUGUUCUGGUAGGUUGCUCUCCAAUCAGCAGAAAGUGCCCAGAGUAAUACUUGGAUUUUCAGGUUCCCCUGGAAGUAUUUUGAGACUGAUUGUACUUUACUGCAUUAAAUAGCAGCCACAACGCCAAUGAGAAAAUGCAGCGCUGCCACUUUAACUGGAUUUCUACUGCUUUCCAGAAGCCUCUAAGCAAACCAAUUGAUGUUGUUUUUCACAUGCAGUGCUGUAGGAGUGUAAAAUUAUUCCAAGUUGAAAACAAUAUAAAAUAUAAAAUUAUUGUUUUUUAAUAACUACCAAUAUUUUUGCUUAUUUCUUUAUUAAUACAAAGUGCACGUAAUAUACAAAGUGCCAAGAUGAACCACAAUACACACAAAAUAUAAAUAACACAGGCAUAUUUAAUUACAGUGUUGAACAAGAUAUGUGAACGUUAAUAUCAAUACAAUCAUUUGCUUCUGAAAAAUCAAUAAAAGGAUAGUGUUCUAGAGCAAAUUUUUCAUUAUGCCACCUUCCAUCUUAGUAUCACAUUUAAAUCUGUUGCACAGUAAAGAUGUUGCCUAUUGAGUCUUUACAGGUCAGGAUUGGUCCAUUUUUUAUUCUUUUAUUUUUAUUUUUGCUAAAACUGCUUUAGUAGCUGUUAAGGAGUUAGAAGUCAUUGGACACUGGCUCAGAAAUUAACAAAUGGGGAUGUUCAGGUAGCAGGGCUAGCUGUACUAUUAGACACAGCAACAUGGCACCUCAGCAGAUGGGUGUUACAAAAUAUAGGUGUGAGAAACCUUUGGGCCUCCAGUUUUUACAGAACUGCAGCUCCCUUCAGUGGUCAUUGGCCAUGUUUGCUGGGGCUGAUGGGAGUUGUAGUUCAGCAACCUCUGGAGGGCCAACGGUUCCUCACAUCUGUGAUCUGUUUAUGAAAUAAUCUAAGUGCAAUAUUAUGAUUGUGUUUCUACGACCAAGGAGGGGGAGAGGUGCUUGUGGGAUUUUCUGCCAGGUGCCAAAAUAAUAUUUCCAGUCCUAAGUAGUGUGGACUUUGACUUGUGAUGAGAGGCAUCAUUUACUGCUCCACCUCAGGCAGCAGCAGAAGAAGAAGAGUUUGGAUUUGAUAUCCCGCCUUUCACUCCCCUUCAGGAGUCUCAAAGCGGCUAACAUUCUCCUUUCCCUUCCUCCCCCACAACAAACACUCUGUGAGGUGAGUGGGGCUGAGAGACUUCAAAGAAGUGUGACUGGCCCAAGGUCACCCAGCAGCUGCAUGUGGAGGAGCGGGGAAUCGAACCCAGUUCACCAGAUUAGGAGACUACCGCUCUUAACCACUACACCACACUGGCUCUCAAAAAAUACUGGUCCAACCCUGUCAUAUAGCACAGCUUGGGACUGAUAGGAUAUAAAAUAUGAGAAGCAACAACAAAAGACCCCAAAAAAGGAAGGAGACUAAAUGCCACCACUACCACCAAACUGUCAACAUGAGCCCAGUAGGAUUUUGGAUUUGGUAAUUUCUCCAUCGUAGGUAUCUUCUGUCAUUAGUUUCAUCUAGCUGAAAACUAUCAAACAUGUUUAAUACUUUAUUAUCAGCAAAUAUCAUUGUUUUCUUUCCCCUCCUUCAAAAGGAAGAUCUUCUCUGCUUUCACAAACAAUGGAAAAUGCAUUUAAUGAAUUUAAAAGGGAUGCGGGUGGUGCUAAACCACAGAGCCUAGGGCUUGCCGAUCAGAAGGUUGGUGGUUCGAAUCCCCGCGAUGGAGUGAGCUCCUGUUUUUCGGUCCCUGCUCCUGCCAACCUAGCAGUUCGAAAGCACAUCAAAGUACAAGUAGAUAAAUAGGUACCACUCCGGCGGGAAGGUAAACGGCGUUUCCAUGCGCUGCUCUGGUUUCGCCAGAAGUGGCAUAGUCAUGACCCAGAAGCUCCCUCGGCCAAUAAAGCGAGAUGAGCGCCGCAACUGGAGCUAACGGUCAGGGGUCCCUUUACCUUUACCUUUACCUUUACACAGGCAUUAAAAUCAAGCUUACAUGUUUGCUUCCUCUCCCCCCCCCUUUUAUUUUUUAUUUUGCAUUCUGUAAUGGUUCUUCUUCUUCUUUUGUGAUUGCUUGCAUUUGGGGCAAUGAAGACAAACAGCUUAGACCUUGAGCAGCACAUGGGCCAGUCAGAUAGAUGGCAUCUGGGAGGACUUGAAGCUCCCUCCACAUUCUAUAGGGAAAAACAGAGCCAGGUGCACUUCUGCAGAAAUCAAAUUAGCCGCAAGAUGCCACAUCCAAUUGUAGUAAAUUGAUGUGAGAGUUUGUGAUGUCUAUAGCAGAUCUUACAACAAAGGUCAACGUGCAGAGAGAUAGACAACAGGCUGCUAUAGAGCAACUUGUAAUGGAGCCUAACAAUAGCAGAGAGCCUGGAAAAUGCAGACGGGUUUCUUAGAACGGCAAGAGAAUCCUGUUUUAAGGAAGUUGCUUAGCUGCAUCAGCCAUCCUGCUCUCUACAUUCCCCCCCAAUAGCAUAAUCUGAAAUUACGCUUCUUUGGAAUAUUUACACUUGAAACGAUCUCUCAUCAGCUUGAAAAAGAGGCAGCACUUAAUGUAAGCACAGGCAACCAGGGAGAGUUGUGAGAGAUGCUGUUAUUUGGAAGCAAACAUUAUUAUUUACUUCAUGAAUGUCAUGUGGAAAGGGAGAACCACACACACACAUUGACAUAUUGAAUUUACCUAUCAUGAUAGCUGCUCCACUGUCUUUCGUCUGACGCUAACAAGUUUGCAUCAUGUUUUAUGACACGUAACUAGCUUUCAUUUUACGUUAUCGAAUUAACUUCGAAGACAACCAGAGCAAUCCGAAUGUUUUCUUAAAUAAUACGGAGGCAGCAUACAUCACAUUCGUAAACCCUGUAGGCCAAAAUGUUUGGGUUCUAUUAAGACAGGGACUAUCUGGGGUCCUCUGUUGUUGGACUACAACUCCCAUCAUCCCUGACCAUUUGUCCUCUUGGCUAGGACUGAUGUGAGAUGCAGUUCAACAAUAUCUGGAGGACCAAAGAUGAGUGAGAGGCAACAUGCUAGAGAAAUGUGCGAAAUUAAGCAGAUAACGUGCUUCUCUCUCCCUCACAAUGUAAGAACUUGGAGCCAGUCAAUGUUGGACAGACCAAAGAAAAUGCUUCUUCAUGCAGUCAAUAGUUAAACUAUAGAAUUUUCUCUAACAGGAUGUAGUGAAGACCACCAAGUAAAGGUAAAGGGACCCCUGACCAUUAGGUCCAGUCGUGACCAACUCUGGGGUUGCAGCGCUCAUCUCGCUUUAUUGGCUGAGGGAGCCGGCGUACAGCUUCCGGGUCAUGUGGCCAGCAUGACUAAGCUGCUUCUGGCGAACCAAAGCAGCGCACGGAGAGGCCGUUUACCUUCCCGUCAGAGUGGUACCUAUUUAUCUACUUGCACUUUGACGUGCUUUCGAACUGCUGGGUUGGCAAGACCACCAAGUAGGAUGGCUUUAAAAGAGGAUUAGACAAAGUCAUGGAGCAUAAGGCUAUAAGAGCCAGUGUGGUGUAGUGGUUAAGAGUGGUAGUCUCGUAAUCUGGUGAGCCAGGUUCGCGUCUCCGCUCCUCCACAUGCAGCUGCUGGGUGACCUUGGGCCAGUCACACUUCUUUGAAGUCUCUCAGCCCCACUCACCUCACAGAGUGUUUGUUGUGGGGGAAGAAGGGAAAGGAGAAUGUUAGCCGCUUUGAGACUCCUUCAGGUAGUGAUAAAGUGGGAUAUCAAAUCCAAACUCUUCUUCUUCUCUUCUAUCAAUGGCUGCAAGCCAAAAUGGCUAUGUUCUUCCACCACUGUCAGAGGCAGUAUGCUGGGUUUCAGGUGGGAAUGUGCUAUUAUACUCUGGUUCUGCCUACAGAUUUCCCAUGGGCAUCUGCUUAGCCACUGAGAUAACGGGAUGCUGGCUUAUGUGGGCCUUUGCUCUGAACAAGCAGAGCUUUUCUAAUGUUCUUAUCCCCUUUCCCAUGCAAUCAGACUACAUUAAAACCAGAAGGUAGCAAAACCUGAAGCCACACACUUGACCACUGCCAGAAAGAUAUGCCCAUUCAAUUCUAAACCCAAUAUAAUUCAUAUUUGUUCUGAAUAUUAUAUCUCACCUUUCAGGAGAAAGCUCUCCAGGGAUGGCUUACCAAAUCAACCCCUUUCCUACAUGACGGUAAACCAAGUUUGAAAAUUGUAAUCCGCCUUGGGCAGAAAGACAAUAUAAAAAUAAAUAGUUUUAAAACUUGUAAGUUAUAAAUCCAUUGAACCAACAUAAAAUCGUUCCAGAUCAGAAAAGACUUUACUUACAUUUCAAUGCAGGCAGCAGAUACAAUGCAGGUAAGGAGACUUCUCAAGUGCAAAAUACAAAAGUUGGCUUCAAAAUAGGGUAUGUGUGACUGGAAGCCCCAGUCUUAGCUUGGAAGUAUGGUGCAGGAGGAAGUACAGUGGUACCUUUGAUUACGUACUUAAUUCAUUCCGGAGGUCUGUUCUUAACCUGAAACUGUUCUUAACCGGAAGCACCACUUUAGCUAAUGGGGCCUCCUGCGCCGCCACUGCUGCCGUGCGAUUUCUGUUCUCAUCCUGAAGCAAAGUUCUUAACCCGAGGUACUAUUUCUGGGUUAGGGGAGUCUGUAACCUGAGGCGUAUGUAACCUGAAGCGUAUGUAACCUGAGGUACCACUGUAUAAAAGAUUAUCUGUUGUUACAUAAUUCCUGCCUAGAAGAGGCAGGAAAAUGACCACACAGAGGGUCCUCUCUAGGAAGUUAAAGAACUGUCUGUGUACUAGCCCUAGACUUGUCUAGCAAACCAUGCAUUUGUGAUUUGGCUGCAAACCCCAUACUGUGAAUAUGAUCAGCUUCCUUUUGGGAGUGUGGCCAACAGUGCAGCUCCAGCUGUGUGUGUGUGUGUGUGUGUGUUUAAAUGCAUGUUGCAUAUUAUAUUGUUUUCUAAACCAACAGGCUUUUGAUUCAAUGUAUUACAUUUUCCAAUGACUCUCAAUAUCAUGGAAUAGGCUCUUAAGCUUUAAACAUUUUCUUCAGCUGUGAUCAACUUGCCCUGUAAAGCUACAAGACAUCUAGCAAUUUCUUCUCUUCAGCUAUUUCCCCCCAAUUUAUUGACAAUGAUAUGAGAGUUGUGCACUUCCAAGCAAUUUAAAAAUAACUCAUCGAGCAUGAUCCUAUUUGCUUAGUUUCAAUGCAAGGAUGAUGGGAGCAAGGAUUAUUCCCCCCCCCCCCCCCGUUGUAGUAAAUUAUUUAUGGGAAAGUUGUUUUCCUUUUAACAAGUAAAUCUUCCCGGACCAAAUUGCAUUAGGCCUCUUGAAUUUCAUAACGGGGUUAUCCGUGGAUGCGUGCAAUGCUUCAAAGUAAGGUUCAAGUGUAAUUGAGCUCAUGCAUUUGCACACUAAGAAUCAAGAAGAGGGGGAAAGCAGUUCAACACAUAAAGAAAAAUGAUUGCGCUGCCUUGUCAAAGUCACACUUGGUAAAAUAAGAAUAUGUAGAUGUAAGCUUGUGGUUAGCCAAUAGGGUCCUUUUUGAGGAGGGGUGAUGGUUGGUGAGCCACAAUUCCAUGGCACGCUAUUGGCCAGUGUUGGGGCUUCAGCUACUUUCCCCUUACAACAACAACAACACUUUAUUACGAUUGUAGACCAGCAUAACCCCCUUUCAGAUAUAAUCUUUUCCUUCUGCAUUAGUUUCUGGGGGACCAGAUAGCUCAGUUGGUAGAGCACGAGAUUAUUAAUCUCAGGUUUGUGAGUUUGAGCCCCGCGUCGAGCAAAACGAUUCCUUCAUCGCAGCGGAGUUGGACUAGAUGACCCUGGUGGUCCCCCUCCAACUCAACAAUUAUAUGGUUCUAUGAAAACAAAUAACCCUUUAUAGGUGCCAACGUUGGCUCUUUGUCCACCAGUUGCUGAUUGUCUGGUCAAGGGCAGUGUCGUCUGCAUUCUGUUCUGCAUUCUGCACAUGGCCAGCGCUCUGUGAAACGUUGGCUGAUAUAAUAUAAAAGAACUUAUAUUUAUUUCAAGCAUGAUAUAUUGUGCACAUAGUUGGAGACACAAGAGCGAUGCUGCUCUUUAAACAGCAAAACGAUAGCACUUUCCACUGAAGCACAGCCUAUCAGAGUACACAGCGCUUUACAAAAUACAGUGGUACCUCUGGUUAUGUACUUAAUUCGUUCUGGAGGUCUGUUCUUAACCUGAAACUGUUCUUAACCUGAAGCACCACUUUCGCUAAUGGGGCCUCCCGCUGCCGCCACACGAUUUCUGUUCUCAUCCUGAAGCAAAGUUCUUAACCCGAGGUACUAUUUCUGGGUUAGCGGAGUCUGUAACCUGAAGCGUCUGUAACCUGAAGCGUAUGUAACCCGAGGUACCACUGUAUAUUUGUUUUGCAGGCUUUAUCGAUCUGAUGUAUUUUAAAGAUGAUGGCCCUACAUACAUUUGCUGUUUUUACUGGUUGUUGGAUUUUAGCUGUUCAUUAACCGCAGCUCUAUUUGCACAUUGCGUUGGAAAGCUCUUUGGCCAAGCGGUUUGUCAAUCUUCUAAAUAAAUAACAACAAAGCAAACUUAAAAACCAAGCGCAACUUGUCUCUAAAAGGUGAUUAUCUAUCAUUUGCCCGAUAAUAAAUGUUGAAAAUGUAAAGGUACAUUUUUUCACCUUUGGUGGACGUGCCCAAGGAUUAAGACAUUCUGGGAGAUGAUUUAUAAUGAAAUGAAAAAGGUAUUUAAAUAUACCUUCUUGAAGAAACCAGAGGCCUUUCUCCUGGGCAUGCUCGGCCAAUUGGUGCCAAAGAAGGCUAGAACUUUCUUUAUGUAUGCCAUAACAGCAGCAAGAGUACUUAUUGCAAAGUACUGGAAGACACAAGAUCUACCCACCCGGGAAGAAUGGCAGAUGAAGGUGAUGGACUACAUGGAACUGGCGGAAAUGACUGGCAGAAUCCGAGACCAGGGAGAAGAGUCAGUGGAAGAAGAUUGGAAGAAAUUUAAAGUUUAUUUACAGAAACAUUGUAAAAUUAAGGAAUGUUAGAAGGAUGUUGGAAUGAAGUAAUGUGGUUUUAGCAGAAAUGCUAUAAAGGAUUAAGAAAAAACAGAUUGUUAAAUGGUGAAAGGAGGGAAAGUAAAGUUACAUUAUAUUAAGAUAAAAUAUAGGACAAAAACUGGAAAAGAUGGAAAGGACUUGCUAAAAUAGCUAACUGAACUAGAAUACAAAAAAGGGAGGUGUGAGGAGGUCAAGGAAACAAGCAAAUGAAAGAUAAGUUAUGGGAAGGUUCAUUGUAUUUUUUUUCUUUUUUCUAAUUGUUUUUAUUUUUCUAGGUUUUUUUUCUUUAUUGUGAUGUGAUGUUUUGUUUUUGCUUAAUAUGCUGUUUUCCAUUUUCUCUUUUUGUAACCUUUUAAAUUUUAAUAAAUAUUAUUUAAAAAAUAAAAUGAAAUAAAAGGUGACUAUCUGGGGCCUUCACACAUGACAGCCAAGCAAUGAAGAGGACCCUGGAAAAUAACACUCGUAGAGAAUUGAUAUUGCCAAUUUCCCCCCGCCCCUCAGUUGCUUCUUUCUGUUCGGCUCUCAUUUUCCCCUUGUGUUGGGCGGAGUGGGCUGUGUUUAAUAACAUAAUUUGCAUCAGCGAGUCCCCAAUGACCAAGCUACUGAGGGCUGGGAGGAGAUUAGCAUGGUAAUCUCAUUCCAGAGGAUAAAAUUAGCAAAGAUAUUUCCCUGAAUGGAGAGCUGCCAUUGGCGAACUGCCGUGCUUAGAAUCAAUUACUAAAUUACUUUGAGCUCUAAGUCGACAUUAACAGAAAAAAAUUGCCAUCGACCAAAGGGAAAUAAGAUCAAAAAUAUGUGAUCAUUAAAUCUCUCGCUACUAUUCGCAAAUGUGGCGCACAAGAACUGCAACAGAAAUAAGGCACAAUUUAAUUUUUAACAGUAGCCCCUGUCAUCGUUUCAGCCAGCACUCUCCAUGUCUUGGAAGUAUGUCUUGGGUACUUUUUCAUCUUCAGAUGAAUAAACGUGAGAAUAGAAAGGGAGGGAGGCAGAAUUCCUAAACAUUCUCCAACAUUUAUAUUGGCACUAGCUCCUGAUGUCCCUGUGCUAAUUUCCAUGUAACGCUGUUCACUUAAUUUUUAUUUUCAUACAAAAUGGUUUUUGGGGUGGAUAAUCUAGCUCAGGGAUGUGGGUGGCGCUGUGGGUUAAACCACAGAGCCUAGGACUUGCCGAUCAGAAGGUCGGCGGUUUGAAUCCCCAUGACGGGGUGAGCUCCCAUUGCUCGGUCCCUGCUCCUGCCAACCUAGCAGUUUGAAAGCACGUCAAAGUGCAAGUAGAUAAAUAGGUACCGCUCUGGCGGGAAGGUAAACGGCCUCUCCGUGCACUGCUCUGGUUCGCCAGAAGCGGCUUAGUCAUGCUGACCACAUGACCCAGAAGCUGUACGCCAGCUCCCUUGGCCAAUAAAGCGAGAUGAGCGCCGCAACCCCAGAGUCGGCCACGACUGGACCUAAUGACUGGACCCUUUACCUUUACCUAAUCUAGCUCAAGGCAGUGCAGCCCUACCACAUUUUUUUUAUCAUCGCGAUAAUCCUGUUUGGUAGCUGUGGCAUUGGCUCCUUGACUAAUGACAACUUUUCUAGGCAAUAUAAGAAGGGGCCAAAUCUCUUGGACAAAACCAAAUUUCCAGAUCCAUGUCCACUGAGGUCUAGGCCUGGAAAAUGCUUUGAUUGCCCUGUAUGGUGACCUUUGCCUGGACGGAGCCAGCAGGGGCGUCCCUUGUCAAUCCUCCUUGAUCUCUCAACGGCUUUCAAUGCCCUCCAUCAUGAUAUUAUUCUGCAGCAGCUGCCUGAGUUGGUAGUGAGCAGCACUCCUUUGUGGUGGUUCCAGUCCCACUUAGGUGACCAUCUUCAGAGAGUAGCGCUGGGGAAUUUUGUUUGGCCCCAGGGAAUGCGGGAUGCCACAGGGUUUGAUUUUUAUCUCCCAUGCAAUUCAAAGUGUUGGUGCUGACCUUUAAAGCCCUAAAUGGCCUCGGUCCAGUAUACCUGAAGGAGUAUCUCCACUCCAUCGUUCAACCCAGACACUGAGGUCCAGCUCCGAGGGCCUUCUGUCGGUUCCCUCCCUGCGAGAAGUGAGGUUACAGCAAACCAGGCAGAGGGCCUUCUCGGUGGUGGCACCCGCCCUGUGGAAUGCCCACUUAUCAGAUGUCAAGGAUAUAAACAACUAUCUGACUCUUAGAAUACAUCUGAAGGCAGCCCUGUUUAGGGAAGUUUUUAAUGUUUGAUGUUUUAUUGUGUUUUUAAUAUUCUGCUGGGAGCUGCCCAGAGUGGCCGGGGAAACUCAGCCAGAAGGGCAGGGGUAUAAAUUAUUAUUAUUAUUAUUAUUAUUAUUAUUAUUAUUAUUAUUAACUACAUGAAAGAGUAGGGUCAUCCAUAGCUUUGGACUGCAUUGUCAUCAAUAUGCUGACAACACAAGUUCUAUUUCUUGUUUACAUCUGCAAGGAGACCUGCGGAUAAAGGGCAGUAUAUAAAUUUAAUAGAAAUUUAUAUAUUUAUUUAUAUUUAAAUAAAUAAAUAAAUAAAUAAAUAAAUAAAUAAAUGAAUAAAUAAAGUGUGACCGUGGAUGGACUGGAUGACAGCCAAGACACUGACGUUUAAUCCAGGGACGCAGGGGUACGCAUACUCCUAAACAUUUUGCGAAUCUUUGUACUUUUGUCCAUUUACUGUAUUUCUUUUCCCAAUUUGAACUACAAAAUGGUGAUUUUUCUUAAGUCAAAAUGAGACUACCCCUAAACAUUUUUUUAAUGGAAAAAAGCACCAUUUAGGGGUAUGCAAACCCCUGCGUCCCCCCAGAAAAAAAGCACUGGCUAUAUCAUUCUCUCAUCUGCAUGUAAAUUUUUUAGGUUGUUUCUCCUUGUUCUUUAUGUUUUUCACUUUCACUUUCCUGGGGGGGGGGAUAAGCAGCCAGUAAUAAAUAUAAUUAUCAUCUCAGGGCAGUGGCAUACUUUGGACUUUCAAAUUUCAGCAGCGCCCCGUGCAAUGUUAAAAUCCAGAGCCCUCCCACCUCUCAGGUUCCCUUCUACAGCAGUCCCCUGUGGGGUGGGGCAUAGGGCGACGGCACCGGUCAUGCUACCCUAAAACUGCCUCUGCUUAGGGUCACCAGUUUGCUAGCACCAGCUAUGUUACCAAAGGCUAGCAUGCUCUUGCUCAUUGGUACGCUCAUUGGGAUGCGGGUGGCACUGCGGUCUAAACCACUGAGCCUCUUGGGCUUGCCGAUCAGAAGGUUGGCAGUUCGAAUCCCAGCAACGGAGUGAGCUCCCGUUGCUCUGUCCCAGCUCCUGCCAAUCUAGCAGUUUGAAAGCACGUCAGUGCAAGUAGAUAAAUAGGUACUGCUGCAGCGGGAAGGUAAACAGUGUUUCCAUGCACUCUGGCACUCAUCACAGUCCUCCGUGCGCCAGUAGUGCUUUAGUCAUGCUGGCCACAUGACCUGGAAAGCUGUCUGUGGACAAACGCCAGCUCCCUCAGCCUGAAAGUGAGAUGAGCGCUGCAACCCCACAGUCGCCUUUGACUGGACUUAAGUGUCCAGGGGUCCUUCACCUUCACCUUUUACCUUUUAUAAAGGUAAAGCUAAAGGUACCCCUGCCUGUUAGGUCCAGUCGUGGAGGACUCUGGGGUUGCUCGCUCAUCUUGCUCUAUAGGCCAAGGGAGCCGGCGUUUGUCCACAGACAGCUUCCGGGUCAUGUGGCCAGCAUAACUAAGCCGCCUCUGGCGAACCAGAGCAGCGCACGGAAACACCGUUUACCUUCCUGCCAGAGCGGUACCUAUUUAUCUACUUGCACUUUGUCGUGCUUUCAAACUGCUAGGUGGGCAGGAGCAGGGACCGAGCAACGGGAGCUCACCCCAUCACGGGGAUUCGAACCACCAACCUUCUGAUCGACAAGCCCUAGGCUCUGUGGUUUAGACCACAGCACCACCCACAUCCCUGUUUACCUUUCAUACUCUUGCUCAGUUCCUAUGCAUCCCUGCAAGGUCUGCUCAGGAAAACUCACUGACCCCUGCCUUUCUCUCUUACACACACAAAGCAGGUUUUUCUUUUGCUGAUAAUAUUGCCAUAGUUAAAAUAAUUAAAAUAAAUAAAUAGCAAAUACGCUGCUGCUUUCCUGCAAUUAAUCUCACAUGUCUCUCAGAGUGGACCUUUGGAACGCGCUGUAUUUCAAGACAUCUUAAUAUGUUCUCCCCUCCCUGACCUCCGAACAUGAAAUUGGGACUUGAGUGUCUGGACUUGAGCCCAUAGAGGGGUCUUGAACCUGUGACCUGAUGGAUGUUAGGGCAGCCAUUCCGUCUGUGUGCCACCAUCCCGCUCUGCCCAAAGGGUCCGAUUGCUGAGAGACCAUCCAUACCUACCAAGAUAGCUUCUUAACCUUGAUAGGCCAGAGAAGGUCAGGCGAUACUCUGCGACAUCCCUAAAAAGUUUCUGGAUUGGAUUUGCUACCUGAUCUAAACAACGAGGAGACUUGGUCUUGCUUGUCAUUUUUCCUUGCUCCUUCUCAACAGUUGCUUUGCACCAUUCUCAAUCAAAUAGCACAACCAGGUCUAGCAUGUUAUCACAAAGGUCCAAGCAGAGAAUUUUAAACUCUGCCAAUGUUUCAAAUCAGAAGAGCGCUAAGCAGUCUAUAUUAUCCUCAUAAUAUACACCAUCAGCUGUCAGAUAUAAGGAGGUCUUGAAUUCAACCCUGCUGGGGGAAGCAGGGUCAACAUCAUUAACUAUAGAUUCUGUCCAGGGGUUUCCAUAUAGAGCCCUUGGGCAAUGUGUCUGCCAGAUAGAUCUCUAUAGAUAUGCAUUGCUAUAGGACUAGGAGGGGGCCCUCACACACUCAUUAGUGAUAGACAACAAGCUUUUGUUUCUUGGAAGGUUUACUGGAAUUAACCGAUUAGUGUCAACUUGACACAAUAUCUUUUGUCUCCGAUGCUGUAGAUAAUUUUUGAUGGUUUUAUUGAUGGAGUGUUGUCUAAUGUAAAUCGUACGGGGAGCUGGAUUUAGAUGAAGGAGGCCACAUUUCUUACCUGAGAAGAAAUUGAAAAAACCAUUUAUAAACGUAUCCUUAAAAAUGGCACGUUUUGUUGUCUUGCGUGCGGAGCGAGCCGCAAUAAGAAGCCGGAGCGAUCUUUCCUCCUCUUAAGGCAACGGCCGCCCUGACGUUCAUGGGGUCAAGAUUGCAGCCAAUGAUAGUAACAGGAGCAAUUAAGGGGUUUUAACAUUGAAAAGCAGACAGUGUGUUCAUAAAUUGGACCCAGAAGCAGAGAGUCUUUCCAUGGCAAUUAGAAGCUAAACUAAGGAGAAGACAAGUUUGACAGAUGUCCUUCACUAAUAUAUUAUCCUGUUGGAUGAAUGGGGUGGGUCGGCUACAAAGCACUCUUAUCUCCCCCCCCCCCAGCCUCUAAUACAUUAAAAAGUGACUAAUUUAGAAAUAAUAUGGCAUUUGCUCCAGUGUGAUCAAUCUAGAAGACCACACAGUAAUUUGGGUUUCAUACGGAUUACGGGUAUAAUCCAGCCAAAAUUAAGCAUUUUCACUCCAUUGGGGAAAAGUUAAGAGCGCACUUAGUUUUCUCCCAAGCCAUUGGUAGGCUUUAAAAGUUCUUAACUUUGGUUAAAUUGUACCUUGUUAUUAUUUUUUUCAUUUCAUAUUAUUUAUGAUGGUUUGGUUUGGUACUGAUAAUGUGCUUCUUUUCUAAUCUGUGGUACAACCCAUUGACAAAGACUGAAUAUUUAAAAGCACAUUUUUGUGUGUGGAGAUUUACGCUAUUACAUUCCAGGAAAUUCAAUUAAAAGUUGCAAUAAACAAAUUCUUCAUUGUCACACAUUUCAUUAUACAAUUUCUAUGAGAACAGAAAUUGUAUAGCAUGUGUAAUAGCGCAGAAUCUAUUUUCAGCAGCUCCUAACAGUUGGAUUUUAUAUAUUGACAUGAUAUCAUAAAUAGGACCGUCAACCUGCGUGAGAGCAACUCACAAGUAGAAGCAGACUUCCAUGUACGCAGUGUUUUGUUCUGGAUUAGGUCAUGCACUGGUGCAUCACCCAAGACCUGGCACUGCCAACUUGGUGCCCGUGGGCACAAAUGCACCCAUAAUGAUUUCCCCUGAUUCCUGUGAGACCCCUUUCCGCCUUUUUACCUUCCUUUUCAAAGUGGGAAGGGAUCAAUCGCAGUUUUAAAAGGUACACAGAGCAGAGAGAGGCAGUGAGAAGAGCAUUGCUUCCCCUCAUUUCCUUUCAACUUUGUGAACUUUUCCAGGCUGGGAUCUAGAGCAGAACAGUCGAACAGGAGGAAGAUAAAGCUCUCUGUAAAAAUGUUGUUCAAAACAGACAUGAAAGGUAUGUUUGUGGGUAACAGCAGCAGCAGUAACCAGACCAGAUGCAUUGAACAAGGGAGAGAAAGUCUGAACUGAUCUGGGGCAGGCAGGAUGGUGGAGGAGGGAAGAAACUAGGCAGUGGAGUGGGUCUAUAUUUGUAUAUUUGUCCAUUCCCCCCCCCCAAGGAAAACGAGCAAGGUCCCAAAUAAAAAAGAAUGGCAACUUAAGCUGGUGGAAUAUGUGCAGCUUGCGGACCUAACACAUAGAAUAAGAGAAGAAGAAGAACAUACGUUUAGAGAAGAUUGGAAAAUGUUUAUUGAAUAUAUGGGGGGAGAUUGUGUACACUUGAAAACGGUGGCAGCAUUAAGAUAAAUUCAACAGUGCAAACAAGUUUUGUUGGAUGCAAUAAUGGAAUACUUAAUGGUUUAGUUUAUGUAAAAUAAGCAGGGAUUUAUGAUAUGCAAAAUGAACCGUGGAAAGAGAAGAAGGGAAGUCAGUGAUAUUUUAAGGAUAUUUAAAUGAGUAUUCUAAACUGUAAAACAGAAAAUUUAAUAAAACUUAUAGUGUGUGUGUGUGUGUGUGUGUGUGUGUGUGUACAUUUGUGCUUGUUCCUCUCUGAGAUUGGGACUGCAUUUUCUCUCUGUGCUGGGCUGUGUUUUAUUCUCACUCUCUCACAGUUGGCUGUGCAUGUUCUAAGCAGACUAGAUGGGUUUAUGGUAAAGGUAAAGGGACCCCUGACCAUUAGGUCCAGUCGUGGCCGACUCUGGGGUUGCGGCGCUCAUCUCGCUUUAUUGGCUGAGGAAGCCGGCAUACAGCUUCCGGGUCAUGUGGCCAGCAUGACUAAGCCGCUUCUGGCGCAAUAGAACACUGAAACCAGAGCAGCGCACAGAAACGCCAUUUACCUUCCCACCGGAGUGGUACCUAUUUAUCUACUUGCAGUUUGACGUGCUUUCGAACUGCUAGGUUGGCAGGAGCAGGAACCGAGCAACAGGAGCUCACCCUGUCACGGG
rnacentral:lncRNA from 1 species